UACUUUGAUCUGUUACUCUUUGAUUUCCACGAACAGCUUGAAUGGCCUCCCUCAAAUCCUUCUCACUGAGCUGAAGAUUUCGAACUAAUUGCUGCCCAAUAUCUUCACAGAAACAAAAUCAUCUCCCAUUUUUUUCUUGCACUUCUGAGCAUUGUCCAAAAGGGAGGCGAGAUAUGUGCCCAUUAUAGGGCCACUAGUAUCUCACACAACCUGGUGCAAGAUCACAGAUUGUUACCAAACCCCAAAUAUCCUCUGGAGAAAGACAAAAUUGAAUUGAAAAACAAACUUAUAACUGAAUACAUGCCUUUGGUUGUUGGGAUAUGAAAUUGUCCACAGCCUGCAGAACUGACGUGUUGUGAAGACCAGCUUUAGUGAGAAUUCUCCUGGCUAAACCAUCCUUUUGCUCCAAAAGAGCUUUCAUUAGAUGCUCAGUUUCCACCACUUGUUGUUUGCAAACUCGAGCUGCAUCAACAGCACCAAUAAUGCUCUCCCAGGUCAUUCAGUGAACUCUGAUGGAUUUGUCCAAGUCAAACAAAGCCGGACUUCAAGGAACUGUGUUAACUUGUAAAAUCAAGGAACCGUUGCCUCCCCUGGUAAGAAAAUGUAAUACCUACUCAAGUGUUAGGUGGACCUUCAUAAGCAAAAGCUCACGGAAGAUGGGGAAGUUGAAUGCAGAAUUUAGGUAAAUUUGCACUCAUAAUUCUCCAAAUUUAUACCAUAAAAAACCAUCAAACGAUAUUUUUAAUUUAACAGUCAUUGCUAAUACAGCCAAAAGUAACGCACUUUAGUAAUACCGGAGAAAAGUUCAUUUCGUUAAGCUUAUGAUGUCCACAUCGAACGCCCCAUACAUCUCUAUUCUAUAUCUGCUGAACCUCGAAAGAUCAUCCUAGAGGCGACAGUAGUCACAACAUCNNNNNNNNNNNNNNNNNNNNNNNNNNNNNNNNNNNNNNNNNNNNNNNNNNNNNNNNNNNNNNNNNNNNNNNNNNNNNNNNNNNNNNNNNNNNNNNNNNNNUAUAUAUCGUUAUCAACAAAUUUCUAUUUCAAAAAUAAAAAUUUUAUAUCGUUAUUAAAUGCAUACUUUUAUUUAGAAACUCAUUUAAAAAUAUAAAUAAAAUUUUUUAUUUAUAUUCCAGAAAUUAAUUUCUAGUAAGGAUGAUUAUCAUUCGUGUUUUAUCAACUCGAUGUUAAUGUCAAACAUUAGAGAUUUCGAGCAAGCUUUCGAGGGAUAUAAUGGGAAAUGUCCAAUUUCCUCCUUUUAAUUUUAAAACAAUUCUCUUAAUUAAGAAAAGUAAAUGUUAAACCGCGAAUAUUAGUAAAAUAAUUCCCAAGAUACGCCGGAAAAUAAAAUUUGAGAUUGUCCGCGUGUUGGCACUGAGUUUUUUGAACUCUCGAAAGCCGCAACUUUAAUCUGGUCGUUAAUGGAAAAAUUAGUUGGCCGAGGAUGCGUCACCGUUGCGCUGCCUAUCUGGAAAAUAUGCAAGUCGCCGUACUCUUCCGCAGGCCAUCCGCCGUGGAUUGGACAUUCACAAGUAGUCACAUCUAGCGAUUUGCAUUCCAUCCUAAUGGGGGAUGAUCAAGCCUUUUUUAUUAAGCCCUAAUUAUUAGGAGAUCGAGCGCUCUUUUCUUCUUCUUUUAUGGGAGGAGAAGACGAGUGGAUGCAAUGGUUGUUCCCCUGUCCUUUGGCUGUUCCGUGCAUUUAAGGCUCACAGGAAUGGUGUUUAUUUGGAAGAGACUUUAUCCUUUUUGCCUAAAUUCGACAAGAUUUUGUUUGGCUAUUGUACACGACCCACCUUCAUCAUUAUUGAUUAGGUGACUAAGGUUUGAAAAAUCGACGAGUACUUAAAUUACUGGCGAUAGAUGGGACACUCAGUAACAUGAAUUGUAUAUGUAACUUGCUCUUGCAAUGUCAAAGCUAACACAAGAAUAAUAAAGUGGGAGGGGAGCCCACCGCCAAGUUUAUAUGCUUAAAGAGCAUUGAAAAUGUUGUUUUGGAGACGAUAACAUUCUCGUCCGAUCCCCACUUUCCAUCAUGCCGAUUCCCUUGUCCUCUUUAGGAAAAAGGGUGGGGCGAGAAAUCCACAUCGAUAAUGUAGUAAAAGAGCUUGAGACCGACUGUUGGAAUACUCCAUUUGUGGUACAGCUAUCGUUUACUCUUGAAGCGAGCCUGUUGUCGCCUCGUUGCCUAAUGCGAGCAAGAGUAAAAUCAGAGGAGCGAUCCUCGUGCCCAGCAUUUGAGUAGAAUAACGCCGCCGGUCGGGGAAAGCGAUCAGAGGAUUCGGAGUUUUGAUCAAGGGAGCUCCGAACGUAGCAUGCAAGCAAGUCUCUUCGACCAUUAGGAGCCAUCAAUUCACACGAUGAAUCUGGCUAAAAGGUCCAUUAAUUCGUGUUUGAUCCUUUGCGUUUCCUCUUAUCAAGAAAAACAAUAAUCAGUGGCUACCAACUAAGCUACGUGGCCUAAAUGGUGAAGGAUCGGAAGGAAUGGAGAUGGGACGGUGGGGGCGUUUCAAACUUCAAAUUUGUAGGCCUAUGAAACUAGGAUGCUUUUUAAUUAAUCACCACUCGGUUUCGGUCUCCAGUGUCUAGAACCCAACCAAUACAUACCCAGUUCAUAAAUGCCUAUAGAGAAGAAAAAAGAAAGAAUCUGACUCCUUCAAUUGGAAAAUUAAUCAUUUAAAAAUCUUUUUUCGAAAUAUUAAUUGAAAGAAAUGCCAGGCAAAUAAUAUUGUUUUUUGAAAUUUGUUGACAAAUUGAUGUAGUAACUGAUAAAUGGAUGCUUGAUGACGUUUCAUUUGCCUGCACAUAGAUUUGGUAUCUAUAAUUCACUUUGCUCAUCUUCAGCUGAAAAGCAUACAUACAUACAUACAUGAAUGUAAAUUAUCUAAGUGUCUUUAUCUCCGAAAAGACGCGAUUAGAAUUAGAUACCGCUUGAUUCUUUAAUUAAGAAAAAGAGAGAUUCUUAAGAUGCAAAAUUAGAUAUAUACAAAAGUACAUUUUAAUUAUUAUUUUUUAUAUAAUCUAAAGGCACUAGCAUGGAAACUUAGUUAUUUAGAGAUUCAUUGAACAUAUAACAAUUUUUAUAAAUUUUGUUAAAUUUAAACUUUUGAGUUGUGCAAGUGACCUUUAACCAAAAGCAGUAUGAACGGUUAUUAAAGCUUUGAUGAAGGGGCUUGUUAGAUGGUCCAAAACUGAUUUUUUUUUUUUGGCCCCCUUAAAGAGACGUGAAGGAUUGUACCAUCUCAUAUGCACGCCCAUUAAUGCAAAUGUCCUAUCAAAGUUGACUGUGUCAAGUGUAAACGCGUUUGUUUCAAGGAUCACCAUUCUCACCUCCUAUCCCCUUAUCUUAUCCCCUCCACAUUUUCGUUCCAUGCAUGUAUCUCAAUCGUAGAAAGAGGAGAGAAGAAAGGAGGGAGAGCGGGGAUCGUGCCUUCGUGCCUUGACUAUGCAAAAUAAUGGGCAGAAACUCUCGCGAAGGGAACUGCCGAGGGGAGAAGAGGCUUCGUGAGCUUUGAGCGUAUGAAGCAGGAAAAUUUUCAAUGAUGGUGACAGCCACCAACCCCGCGAAUUCGGAAGAUACGCGACGGGGACUACGACAAUUUUGGCAACUUCAAUGUUGAGUCUUGCCAAAUUAUCGGGCCUUUAACAUGAUUGCCCCCCCCCGUAAUAUUCCGAAUGCCCUUCUCACGAAAAUCCUUGGGACAGCGGGGUCUCUAGAUUUGAUCGUGUGUGGGACUUAACCCUUACCGGCGCAUCAAUUCAAGCACACCUUACCAGCAGGGGCAUGCUUCUCAGGGCGAAAAGACGCAGAAAAACAAGUGCACUUUUUCCUUAUCUGCUCGGGGUAACCCUCGGGUUUGAGAGCAGUACAUGUGGACCGGUGUCUAUACAAUCCUAGGUUCUUUGUUUUGAGGUUUUGGUCGUUCCUCACUUUUUCCUACUACCUUUUGAGGUUUCGCUGAGGGUACUUUAGGUUAUAUGGGUCUUUCAAUCUCGAUUGAAAACUCAACUGAUACAAGGUAUUGAAAGAGAGAUGAUGUGGUUGAUAUACCAUUCUCUUCCCCGCCUUCUACUUAAAAGAAAUAAAAUAAAUGAAGUAUGACUUUGUCUAUCAAUCAAAGAGAUAGAAAGAUGUUCUUUCCAAAAAUGAUUUUCCCUUUUUAUAAGUAUGUUAUAUUAGCUUACCAAGAAUGAACGGUACAAACUGAACAAAUUUACUGAUUGGGAAAAGCACCAAUUUGGAAUAUUCACCCGAUUUUUCGCCGGGCAUCUCGAUUCACAAACUUAGAUUGAUUCAUGAAAAUGGAAGUUCCGUGUCGUAGCAAAACAAAAACCCUAGGUCGAUCGCUUCCCUUCCGUUUUGCCCUCAUCACGGGCCAAAAUUCUAUCAUUUGUGCGUCGGUUUUGCCUCCUUUCCUUUCCUCCUUUCCUUCCUCCCUUCCUCCAUUCAUCCAUUCAUCCAUUCAUCUCAUUUUCUCCGUCAAACCCACAAACCAGAUUCUCCUCUCUGCUUGCACGCGCCGCUCUGACAAAAUCCCAAAAGAUUCGAAAGCUGCAAGUUGCUGACUUCUCUCUCGAAUCUCCUUCUCCCACGAUCUCAAGGAAUGCGGCGACGCCGUCCCCGUCGAAGAAGAUGACCGCAGUCGACGCGAGAGGCUCGACCGGUCGCUGAUGGACUCCGACUCCGACUUCUGCUUCGGCGGGUCGAGUUUCGUCCUCCAGCUCUCCUCAGCCAACGAGCUCUUCUCCGACGGCAAGAUCCUUCCCGACGAGAUCAGGAGGGACAGAGUGGUAACUGCCGACCACAGUGAUUGUCUGCCGAAUACCUUGGUCUCAUCCUCCUCCUCCAUCUGGGACUCCGAUUUCUAGUGCUGCGUUCUCGGAGGAGUCUGAAGGAGCUCCUCUCGGAAAGCUUCGACGACGACGAAGGGGAUGAGAAGCCGCUGCCCAAGCCAUUAUGGCAGUUCAAGUGCACUUAAUUGUGACGUUGCCAAGAGCAGAGAACUGAUUCGGUCGCUGCAGUUCCUCUCGCGGAGCACCUCGACCGGUCCAGCUCCAAAUCCAAAGGACAAAUUCGCCUCCAAGGACAACCCGAGGCAGAAUUUGCAGAAACAGCCCUCUAUAUCAAGUCAAAGAUGGUCGUCGGAGUCAUAUCAAUCCUCAUUCGGCAUGCCAUCUUCGUACGGCCUGUCGCAAUCGGAGAAGCCCCCGACGACGAACAAACGAUACAGACCCAGGGUGAGGGUCAAUCCUGAAUUGAAUUUUCAGCCCCACAUCAAACGAUCAGGACGGUGAGCUUGUUCGGGCUCGGCUCGCUUUUCUGUAAUGGCAAGGUCAGAAAGAAGAAGAAACGAGUCAUCCUGAUUAAUCUUCUUUGUUAAUUUGCAUUAGAACAGAGAGAAAAGAAGAAGAAGAAGAAGAAGAAAUGAGCUUUUUGAAUGCUUCUGGUUUUGGUGCACAUGCCUAGAUAGAUUUUUGUGGUGGUAGAUAUGGGGGACCUGAUGGAAUUAGCAUGGGAUAAGGUUCUCGAAAAGAAUUCCUGGAAAAUAUAAUGUACGGAAUGCAUGUUUAAAGAUCAGGUUUCGUUUUCUAAUAGUGGGCCCUAUAAGCCUCUAACCAGCGUUGCAUUAGCAUCAGGUAAGAUAAUCAUCUUGUUGUCUAUCCAGCCGAAAGUCGUAUGCUGUUGUCAGUAUUCUAAUUCAUCUUGUUUUGGGGACUUUCUAUAAUAUCUCGGACUUCUAAGCGACGUGAAAAAUAGAUAGAAUUUGCAUAAUAGCGGCAAAAAUAUAAUGAGCCAAAAGAAUUUGCAUAAUUGCAUUGUACUCUUCGAGUUUUUUGUGUGUGAAAAUGUUUUUUUUUUAAAGGUUCAGGGGAUGCAGAGAAAGCAAAGGAGUACUUAGCCAAAAUGAGUGAUGAGCAAACAGACGGUGACGGUGUGGUUUUAUCCCUCGUGCUCAAAGCUACAUCCAUCAGGCUGUUCAAUAUGCUCCUAAUGACUGGUAAUAUGUAAUGCCAAAUCUGUAUGUUCGAAGUUCCAUAUCGGCAAAUAUUGCAAUGAUCCCGAGCAUUGUUUUCAGAACAUUCGCGCUAUGUUGUCUCAAAUGGUAUGGAUGCAUCUUUUGGUUUUUCGACUGCAGUUAUGUUCUUGCUUCAUGUCCUCACGAUCAUGAUCAUGAUCACAAUCAUGAGGUAGAGGAAGAAUUGCGGUUUAACACUAGUCAAACUUGUGUAUCUAAUUACUCAACUGACCACCCUUGUACUAAUUGUAAUCUUUGAGGACACACCCUACUGAAAAAGAUUCCUAAUUUAUUAAGAUUAAUUGCUUGUCCUGAAGCAAAACAAUAUUGAUGUAAUACUGCAGUUAAAUUCUGGCACUCUUGGACUUGCCAUCAAGGAAGAAGAUCUAAUCAUCUGCAAAAAAUAAAUGAGAUGGUGUGGGACAAAAUCUGUUCAGUUUAAUGCUCUUCAAGCUACCAUCGUCUACUGCCUUCUUCAAUAGGGAGGAUAGGCAAUUUCCUACAAUAAUAAAUAGGUAGGGAGAUAGGGGAUCGCUUUGUCUAAUUCCUCUAGAUGGUUGAAAAAUGGGAAGUGGCUCACCGUUGACUUUCACACUAAAAGACAUUGUGGUAACACACUGCAUUACCCAAUAUUGCCACCUCUCGUUGAAAUCCAUCUUAAUCAUACAUGCCUCUAAGAAGUCCCACUCGACUUGAUCAUAGGUUUUUUGAAUAUCAAGCUUCAAAACUACAUGAAAUUGUCUAAUCCUUGUUCACACUCUUAGCUGAUAAAGCACCUCUUGUACUAUCAAGAUGUUAUCUUGAAUUUGUUGCCCACUAACAAAAGCACUUUGUUCCUAGGCUAUCACAUUUGGCAACCACUGUUUCAGCCUAUUUGCUAACUCUGGAGACGAUUUUAUACACAAAGUUCUAAGGCUGAUAGGACGGAAUUGCUCUAACCUUUCAGGGUUGGAGACCUUUGGUAUGAGGGAAAUGAGGAUAAGUACACUAAUGGUGCCAUAAGUUGUGUACGGCGGUCACUUUGGUGCCAAAAGUUUCCAUCAGAUCACUUAAGUGCCAAAUCAAAGGAAAAAUGCUCACUUUGGUGCCACAAGCAAAAGAUUCCGGCCAAAAUGAUUAUUUUUUUUUUAAAUCGAUAGGCCUUUAAAUGACGUCGUUUUCGGUCCUCCUUAAGAAAAAGACGUCGUUUUGCCGUUCUACAUGGAUGGCUUCAUGGAAACGACACCGUUUAGCUCACAUAGGGAAAAAUUAGGGUUUCCGCCGCUCGGCUAUCGUCACUCAGCCACCAUUGUAGUUGCUCGACCAGGUGAGCGAGGAGAGACUGAGAUUGUUGCAGGAAAAAUCGAAGGUGAGGGCGGAGGAGGAGGAGGAAGAAGAUGGGUCGAAGGGGCUGCUGGUGCGCUGCUGCUGCUGGUGCGUUGCUGGUGUCGUUGUUGGUGUGCUGCCGGUGCUGUUGCUAGUGCCAUGUUGGUGCCGUUGCUGGUGUGGGUCUUUGAGGAAGAAGAAGACACGAAGACGAGCCUUCCCUCUCUGUCAAUUUGGGGAUUAGGGUUUCAAAGUUGGGGGAAAGAUGCCAAACGGCGUCAUUUUGGUGUUUGGAUGCUGACUCAACUCUCCGACGAGCCACGUUGACUUCAAAAAUUAAUUAAAAAAGGCCACGUCGGAUUUCCGGCCAAUUUCAUCGGCGUUGGCACCAAAGUGAGCGUUUUUCAAAUUUUUUGGCACUUAAGUGAUCCGACGGAAACUUUUGGCACCAAAGUGAGCGCUGUACACAACUUAUGGCACCAUUAGUGUACUUAUCCCGAGGGAAAUGUAUGUUUUGUUCAGUUAUGGGUUCAUAGUUCUAGAUAUAAAGAAAUUCCUUACCGCAUCAUAUACAUCCUCCUUUACAUCUUCCCAAUCGUGCUGAUAAAAUAAUCCAUUUAAGCCAUCUAAUGCGGGGGCUUUCGUUGCCCCCAAUUGGAAAGCAGUAGCUUUCACUUCUUUCAUUGAGACCUCAGCUGUGAGUUUUUGAUCCAUUUCCUCCUGGACAACCCUUGGGUAUUGGUUUAGUACAGGGUAAAAAUUUCUUUGACCAAUAGAGGUAUACAGAUUCUUAAAAAAACUCCAUGGACAGCCUUUUGACUCUGGUCCCUAUGCCACACACCAUUAGCAUCUUUCAACAUAGAAAUAUGAUUCCGUUGUCUCCUUUGAAUGGUUGUUUUUGUAUUCUUAUCCCCCAUUUCAACCAACUUAUUCUAGCUCUCAUUCCCAAGUACAUAUCUUCUUGUAUCCAUAAAUUUUCAAUCUCCCUUUUUAGUCACUGAAUUCUAUCUCUGUUAAACUCUUCUCUAGUAUCGUUUUGCCUCUUGAAUUUCUUGUUUGAGCAUUUUGAUUUUACUUUGUCCAUUGGAGAAUUUUCGUUUACUCCACUUAGCCAAACGGCAAAUUUUUUCUACAACGUAUCAUCCUUCCUCUCAGAAGAACGCCACACAUUUUUCACAAUGGAUCUACUUUCUUUUUCCUCUAACAAAAAAAAUUCAAACUCAACCUCCUUUUUACUUUUCACUGGAGGAGGGAAUAGAGUUAAUAGUAAGGGGCUAUGAUCAUAUUCAAUGGUAAGAAGUGCAUAGGCUUCAGCUUCUGGAAAUUUCAGUCUCCACUCAAUAUUAGCCACUACACUAUCUAGCCUCUUCUUCACAUAAUUCUCCCAUUCUCUAUUGUUUGCCAAUGUAUAAGCAUAGCCCUUACAUUCGAUAUCCAUCAAUGCACAUUCAUUCAAGCAGUCCCGAAAUGCAUUUAAGCGAUAGUGGUCAGCCAAACGUUUCCCCACUUUCUCCCAAUGAUAUAAUAUUUCAUUAAAAUCACGCAAACAAAUCUAAGGAAGUGAAUUCUGAGAGCUAAUCCUUUUAAUUCGCAUUUUAUCUCCCAUUACUGAGUCUUCACUGAUUAGGUUGAUGCUUUCUUUGGAAGCAAAAACCACAUGUAACAGAGUAGUAUCAUCCCACAAAAUAGCCAACCCAUCAGCAAUUCCUACUAGAUUCACCACAAAGUAAUGCUGAAAGUUUAACCGUUUUCUCAGUUUUUGUAUCAUUGGUUUUCGGUUCUCGGUUUCCAUUAAGAAAACCACGUUGGGCCUUUCUUGAGCCAGAAUGGCUCUUAAGUUUUGGACUGUCAAGAGUGUGCCCAAUCCCUGACAAUUCCAACAUAAUAUCUUCAUUUGUAACCCAAUGGCUAAUUGGGGCUAGCUACCCAAACCCAUUCCUUCACAUCUUUCACCAUUUUAUUCUAGAUUUCGACAGAUUGUAGCCAAACAAAUUUCAGUCUCCUCGUAACCUUCCAUUUUUUUACUUUUGUGUCAGGCUAACAAGUGACACCCUCUCAGACCCAAGCUAGCUUAGUUAAUUGCAUUCUGAAGAAAGAAACAAUUGAAGAAAAAUCGCGGCUCAUAGAGUGCUUCAACUAGAUCGCAUCUCUUGUCAGGGUUUAUAGGUGUGGAAAUUUUGUCUGUGUUUCCGUGGAACUGUAGCUCCAUUUCAAUAGAGCAAAUAAAUUGGAUCAUUCUUGGGCCAGCAGGGAUCUAUGGACCAAAGGAGGUUUUUAGGGUUUAUGGGAAAUGAAAUUUUGUGUUUGAUUUUCCAUGAAACAGCAGCUUGCCCACAGUAGAAAAGAUAAAAAGGAACAUUUUUAGGUCAAGGGUGUGGAAAAAAGUAAAGGAGAUUAGGGUUUAAGGAGGUUGAGGGGUAAAAAAGAAGACUAUCACAGCGAAGGAUAGGAAAAACCUCUUCCAUUGAAGAAAGAAUGAGGGUUUAUGGAGGUUGAGGGGUAAAAGAGAAGACUAUCACAGCGAUGGAUAGGAAAAACCUCUUCCAUUGAAGAGAGAAAGCUCCGAUGCUGGAGAGAAAGCUCCGAUGCUUUAGAGGAUUAUUGAAAUGUACAAAAUCUCAAUAUUUUCUUUGUAAGUAGUUGGGACGAGGUUCCUAGACCUUUUAGCAAAAGUGCAGUUGAGAUCUAAAACACAUUCAUAAAAUGCAAAACAUAUCCAUAAAGUGCAACUGAGUAUUUUAGCUACCUCUAUCUAUUUAGAAUGACAGAACAAUUUUACAAGUUUUUCUAAAUAAUUUCGAGAAUAUUUGGCUCAAAUGCUACGCUCAGUUGGAGCCACGUUAGCUGAACGGUCUAGAAACUAAAAAGAAAAGCUAGAGACGUAGAGAGGAAGGAGGGGGGGGGGGGGUGUCGCCUAUGGGGUAUUGCCUCAACACAUCCAAAAGCCUUGCCAUGAGCCGAUGAGAGCAUGCAAUCGGCCUGGGGUUUUUGUUUUGCUAUGAAUGUAACUUCGAUGUUCAUAAAUCAAACCUAAUUUUGUGAAUCGAGAUGCCUGGUGAAAAAUUAGGUGAAUAUUCAAAAUUGGCACUUUCCCUAGUCAGUAAAUUUGUUCAAUUUGUACAAUUCAUUCUUGGUGAGCUAAUAUAACAUGUUAGAAGAUAUGCGAUAUUCCUUUGGGAGAUUUGGAUUUGAUUUGAUUAUGUAUAAAGAUUAGAUUUAGAUCUAGAUUGAUACAUAGAAUUCUUUAUUUCCAUUAAUAGUACAAACCUAGCUCUAUAUCUUUAGGAUCUGUAUAGUUUAUAGACAUAUUGAGGAAAUACAGAAAAUCUUCAUUCCUCCCAUCUUCACCUUCAGUUUCUUUCAUGGUAUCAGAGCCUCCAGGCUUCUAAUUUGCUUCCGCCUUGUUCUUCUGCCGGAAAGAUCUUCAACCUACAAAAAAGAGGUUGUGUUCAGUAUUAGAAUCAGUACUCGGAAGGAUUUUUUUUUUUAACUUACCAUGGCCUCCUUGCAAACCAGCAUCUCUGCCUCCGGCAACUCACCAACUGGAGAAACAACGCUUCAAGAUUCGCAGGCCGAACACCACCUUGCGACACUUCCAGUCUCAAAUUAGCAACAUAGUGGCGACCCACAUAGACUCAGCUCAAUGUGGGGCAACCCUUGGCGGGCCAACCAUACCAGUGGAUUCCAUAUCCACUCUAUUUUUGGCCAAGCCUAAAUUCAUCAUCAUCUGCAUAUGUGGGCCACCAGAGCUACGUCCAAGCUAAUGGGGGCUCGCUAAUCACGAAUGGGGCAAGCCUAACCAUCGAAUCGGAGCAAUUGAGCGAGUCGGGAGAGCCGGGUAUGGGAACAAAUCCCUACCUGGGGUUUUAUCAUGCGGGUUAUCCAAUUGAGACGAGCGAAUUGGGUCAAGGAACGAAUACCUUGCUACCAGCUUUCUACCGUUUCCAGCGGCGGCACUCACCGGACGACCAAAACCCGGUGAUCCAUUGUUUGUUUCCAUCGCCGACGGGCCAGAAUUGAGGCUCAUCAGCUAGCAAUUGACCGGGCCAGAAAACUAUACAAGAUGGUUGCAGGAAUUCCGGCGCGCCCUAGCAACCAAAGACAAAGAUGGUUUCCUCGACGGAACCAUUCCAGUUCCCGUGGAUGAACGCCUAGCCCGACUUUGGAGGAAGAGCAACCACCUGGUCUGAACUUGGAUUGGCAAUUGCGUCUCCUCAGAAGUUGCAGUCGGAGUCCCACCAACAGAAGAUGCAAAAGACAUGUGGGAGAAUAUCAAGGAAAUGUACGGAAAGCUGGACUAGGCAAAAAAUUUUACCCUAAUGCAGGAGCUCGGUGAAUUGAAGCAAGGAAAUAUGACGGCCACAGCCGUUUUCAACAGGCUCUCGUCAUUGUGGAACAACCUCGAAGCGGACGAGGAGAAGCUCGAGGGACCGGAGUCCACACUCAAACAAUACAGAUCCAUUAAAGACAGGAAGAAAGCUACACGCUUUCUCCUCAUUUUGAACGAAAUAUACCUUGGAUUUCGCUCACAGAUCCUUGCCAUGGAUCCCAUGCUGCCGAUUGGGCGGAUUUUUCAAUUGGCCAUAUAGGAGGAGAGUCAGUGACACGCGACGCCGGACCACACCAGGAGUAGUGAGAGCGUCGCACUCACAGCUCGCGGAGAUCGGCGAGAUGCGGCCACCAGGACCCAAAUCCUAAAUUGAGAGAGAGAGGGCGAGCCAAAUUAGGGUUCACGGAGGAGGAGUUGAGGCUCUUUAAAACAGACCGGAUGGACAACCAGGAUGGGAUGCGAGGAUCGGACAGUCAGAUGCUUGCCACAUCAUCAAGGAAUUUUGGAAGGAAUUUUAAAGGCAAGAGUAAAUUAUUUUGUGAUUAUUGCAAACGUACUAAUCACUUAAUUGACAAUUGCUAGAAAUUGAAUGGAAAGCCCGGUGAAAAGGAAAAAAGGUUUCAACAGCUUACCAAGUUACUGGAUCAACCGGUAAAAAUACUAACCAGCCUAUCUCAUAUAGUCAGUAUCAUCAACUGAUGGAGGCACUUCAAAAAAUGGAUACCACAAACAAAAGAGCGAGUUUCUCAAGUAUUACCCAUUGCUUGAUUAAUUCAAUAUCCAGAAAGGCAUGGAUAAUUGAUUCAGGGGCAAGCGACCAUAUUAUAUGUGACAGGGGAUUUUUCUCAAGUUUAAAUGAUAGAUUGAAUUUCCCUAUUUCCGUGCAAUUGCCCAAUGGAGACAUUACUCACGUCAAUGAAACAAGGACAAUCAAUCUCAGUUCACAGAUUACUCUUAGAAAUGUUUUCUAUGUCCCAGAAUUCCAAUUUAAUCUGAUCUUUGUGUCAAAAGCUUGUCAAGAAAAUUCAUGCCGAGUCAUUUUCAAUGCUGACACGUGUUUCUUUCGGGACUCUUCGACUGGGAAACUAAUGGGCUUGGGUAGUCUCUCUAAAGGCCUUUUUUUCUGGAAUAGUUUCUCAAGUAAUUUCAAUUUUCUUGCAAUUCUUUGAAUAAGUCAUCAUUGUGUAAUUUGACUACCAAUGAUAGAAAUUCCAUUAUGCAUUUGAGAUUGGGUCACAGUGCCUCCUUUCCAUGUCCACAAUGUCCUAUAUGUCCUCUUGCUAAACAAUCUCGUGCGCCUUUUCCAUCUAGUAACUCCUGGACUAGUGAGAUUUUUUCCUUGAUUCAUGUGGAUAUAUGGGGACCUUACCACACACUAAAUCAUGAUGGGUCUUGGUAUUUUCUCACUAUAGUAGAUGAUUAUUAUCGCGCGACUUGGAUUUUCUUGAUGUAGUCUAAGAAUCAGACUUAUUCUCAUUUGAAAAGUUUUCUCUCACUAUCAAAGAAUUAGUUUGGCAAAUCCAUUCAGCGAAUCCAUACUGAUAAUGGAAGAGAAUUCUUCAGCCAUGAUUGCUCUUUACUAUUUACUACACAUGUCAUACAACAUGAGAGCUCCUGGGUCUAUUCGCCACAACAAAAUGGCGUUGUAGAACGAAAACAUCGUCAUCUAUUGGAAGUUGCAUGAACCUUGAAGUUCCAAGCCUCAGUUCUAGACGAUUAUUGGGGAGAUUGUGUGGUCACAGCUGCUUACUUAAUUAACCGUAUGCCGACUCGGAUACUUAAAGGGAAAACUCCAUUUGAGUUAUUAUUUCGGAAGAAACUAGAGCUCUAGCAUCUCAAGGUCUUCGGAUGUCUCUGUUUUGUUGCAACAGUGGGACCUAGAGACAAACUAAGUCCACGUGCUCGGCGAUGCAUUUUCAUGGGAUAUCCCAAUUUGCAGAAAGGGUAUCGGGUUCUUGACAUUUCCAUAAAGGAAUUUAUGGUAAGUCUUGAUGUCAUCUUUCAUGAAGACAUUUUCCCUUUUUUCUGAGCAGACCACUCUAGAUGCAAAUACAGGGAUGACAACCUCUCCCGUGGUAUCUUAUAUGAUGAAGCAAUGCCUCAAGGUCCUACCUAUAUACCAAUAGCAGAAUUACGGCACAUUCCUCCCACUAAUUCAUUUCUUCCAGCAUCAACAUCAACACCUGCUGAGAGGACCAACUGCUCAUAAGAAAUUUUGGAACCGAGACUCGAAGAUCCUAAUGACUAUGCUUUAUUCACACGGACUAAAGGUAUGUCAUCCGUUUAUUUGAUGAUAUAUGUUGAUGACAUACUUGUUAUGGGAAAUGAUAAGGCUGCCAUAGACAAUUUCAAGAAUUAUUUACAUGCUACCUUUCACAUUAAAGACUUAGGAGCGCCUAAUUAUUUCAUUGCUCGAUCUGAUUAAGGGAUUUUCCUUAGUCAGUGGAAAUUUGUCUUAGAAAUCAUAUUAGAAGCAGGCUUAUCGGGAUGUAGACCAGCCGUGAUUCCCAUUGAGCAGAACAUUAAGUUGACUACUACAUAAUAUGAUAGGGGUACAUCACAAAACGAUGAUCCCAUACUCAAAAGAUCUAUUAGGGUAUCAAAGGCUUGUCGAGAAGCUCAUAUACCUGACCAUGACUAGACCUGAUAUCUCUUAUGUAGUACAGACACUUAGUCAGUUCAUGCACAGUCCAAAGCAAUCUCAUUUGGAAGCUGCAUUGAAAGUUGUGAAGUAUUUGAAAAGUAUCCAGGAUUGGGAAUUCUUUUAUCCAAACGAUGUGACAUGAAGAUGAAGGCAUACUGUGACGCCGAUUAUGCUACAUGUCCCACUGCCCGAAGAUCAGUCACUGGAUAUUGCAUCAAAUUAGGAGAUUCACUCCUCUCAUGGAAGACCAAGAAGCAGUAUACUAUAUCUUUGUCUUCGGCCGAAGCAGAGUAUCGAGCCAUGGCGAAAAUCACUUGUUAGCUAGUGUGGAUAUGAGGGUUGCUUAAGGACCUCAGAAUACAAGUAUAGGGAUCAACAAAAUUAUAUUGCGACAAUGAUGCGACUCUCAAAUUGGCAGCAAAUCCUAUAGUGCAUGAGAGGACUAAGCACAUAGAAGUAGACUGUCAUUUUACACGAGACAAGAUUCAAGAAGGGGUAAUCGAAACAGAAGGAAUUGGGACAACAUAGCAGCCAUCGGACAUCUUCACCAAACCCCUAUGUCAACGACAGCACGCAUAUCUAUUGAGCAAGCUAGGCGUUUUAGACAUCUACAAGCCACCAGCUUGAGGGGGAGUGUUAGAAGAUAUGCGAUAUUCCUUUGGGAGAUUUGGAUUUGAUUUGAUUUGAUUUGAUUAUGUAUAUAUCAAUUAAAGAUUAGAUUUAGAUCUAGAUUGAUACAUAGAAUUCUUUAUUUCCAUUAAUUGUACAAACCUAGCUCUAUAUCUUUAGGAUCUGUACAGUUUACAGACAUAUUGAGGAAAUACAUAAAAUCUUCAUUCCUCCCAUCUUCACCUUCGGUUUCUUUCAUAACAUACUUAUAAAAAGAGAGAAUCUUCUUUGAAAGAACGUCUUUCUAUCUCUUAGAUUGAUAGACUAAAUCAUACUAUUUUUUAUUUUUAUUUUUUUGUAUGUAGAAGGUGGGGAAGAGAAUGGUAUAUCAACUACAUCAUCUCUUUUUCAAUACCUUGUAUCAGUUGAGUUUUCAAUCGAGAUUGAAAAACCUAUAUAACCAAAGUACCCUCAGCAAAACCUCAAAAGGUAGUAAGAAAAAGUGAGGAACAACCAAAACCUCAAAACAAAGAUAGUAGGAUUGUAUAGACACUGGUCCAUAUUUAGUGUUCUCAAACCAGAGGGUUAUCCCGAGCGGAUAAGAAAAAAGCGCACUUGUUUUUCUCUUCUUCUUUUUUCGCCCUGAGAAGCAUGCUGCUGCUGCUGGUGAGGCGUGCUUGAAUUGACGCAUUGAUAAGGGUUAAUCCCCACACACGAUCAAAUCUAGAGACCCCGCUGUCACAAGGAUUUUCGUGAAAAGGGCAUUCGGAAUAUUACAGGGGGCAAUCAUGUUAGAGGUCCGAUGAUUCGGCAAGAGACUCAACGUUGAAGUUGCCAAAAGUUGUCGUGGUCCCUGUCACGAUCUUUUCAGAUCUAUUCGCGGGGAUGGUGACUGUCAACAUUUCUGCUUAAUACACUCAAGCUCACGAGGCUUCUUCUUCCCUCGGUAGUUCCCUUCGCGAGAGUUUCUCCCCAUUAUUUUGCAUAGUCAAGGCCCGAUCCCCGUUCUCCUCCCUUUCUUCUCUCUUCUUUCUACGAUUGCGAUACAUGUAUGGAACGAAAAUGUCGAGGGGAUAAGAUAAGGGGAUAUGAGGUGAGAAUGGUGAUUCAUAAAGCAAAUGCGUUAACGCUUGACACGGUAAACUUUGAGAGAACAUUUGCGUAAAUGGGCGUGCAAAUAAGAUAGUACAAUCCUUCACGUCUCUUUAAGGGGGCCAAAAAAAGAAAAAAAGAAGACUUUUGUUUUGCAAUAAGUAGAUAAACAAGUCCUUCCUAAAAAUAGUUUCGUCUAUAGUGUCCCGACUUUUCGUGAGGGAAAUAGCACUGAUUUGGAGAAAAACGGCAUAAGUAAUAUCUAAAAAGAAAGAAUGUCUUAGCUCCAAGGUGGACCCAAUUAAAUAGCUCUUUCCUUGGUCUUGCGAGAUAACUAUGAUGAUUAGCUAUUACGAAAUCAAAGAUCGCAUAAUAUGUUAACUUCAAGAGUACAUGUAACUAUGCUAGUAGCAAAAUUAACUUGCAAUAAUUCAUCUUUUAGGGGUCAGAAACAAGGCAGUCUCUGGAGUCAAACAUGACUCUAUACAUAGAAUUAAUCCCUAUAAAAGAGGCGUAUUUUUGUCAGCAUAACCUUUAUCUUUCAUAUCUAUUCAGCUGAUUCUGCUUAGAAUACUGAAUUUGGGCGACGUUAACUCCUAAAUUUUCCAUUACAUUUCUCCAACUUUUCCCUGUUUUUCAAACCUUAAUUCUUUCGAUGCUGACAGACAUUAGCAAACUCAAGUUAGAAAAGUUCAGCAUUUCUUCCCACUCCCCCCACAUAACUCGAUGCUCCUCCAUCUCUCUAAUUCAUGUCGAUAUGCAUGUGUGCGGGCGUGUAUGCAUGAACAACCGAUCAAUUGCUGCUAAAUCACUGCUGAUGUAACAAUCCGAUCUGACGAGGGCGAGAGUGAUUGCAGGUCCAGAGAGGACUCCUGAUUCUGAUGGAGUUGUCGAGUCUAAUAAAGGAAAAUAAUGUUUAAGUGCAGAAACAAUUUAUUUUAGGCAGUCACCCAUCCUGUAAUGUUAAAGCAUAUAAUAGGGAUUUUAUUAUUACUAAUGGCAUACAUGUAAUUUCCAUAUUAAUUAUGUAUGCCCUAGACUCCUACUUUAUAUAGGGCAAUAUCUUUUAUAAUUGUAACGCUGAAACUUGUAAGCCUAGAGCUUGUAACAUGAUACUGAUAGUAAGAUUGCCUAGUGCGGCAUCGUGGUUUUUCCCUUUUCUUGAUUUUGGGAAGGGUUUUCCACGUAAAAAAUUUAUUUUAGGCGUUCACCCAUCCUAAUGUUAAAGUAGACAACAAGGAUUUUAGUGUUAUUAAUGGCAUACAUGUAAUUUCUAUAUUAAUUAUACAUGCCCUAGACUCCUCCUAUAUAUAGGGCAAUAUCUUUUAUAGUUGUAACAUUGAAACUUAUAACCCUAGAGCUUGUAACACUAAUACCAAUAAUGGAAAGAUUGUGAUUUUUUCCUUUUCCUGAUUUUGAGAAGGGUUUUCCACAUAAAAAAUCCUAACUUGUUUUCUUCUCUAUUUUUUCUCUUCAUAUAUUUGCAUUUUUAACAGGUUCUAAGAUGGCAAUGGGGGCAGGAAUGAAGUGAAUUCCACAUCGCCUUAGUAUGAUGAGUUGAAGUUUCAUAUAUGUGAUGGCACAUGUUCAAACUUGUAAAAAAGUCCUUUCUGAUUGAAAUUCAAAAGAACAAAAUUGUGUGAGCUCUGAUUCAAAAUGGACAAUAUCGUUAACAAGCGAGAUCUGAGCUUAACAACCGAGAUGCAUCAAAGCGACCGCCAUCAUUAACAAUUCGAUUUGAUGCAUUGGAUGUGCCGACGGUUGGGGAGCUGAAAAGGGGUAAUUGCGGGGGAAGACCACAUCGAUUGAAAUUCAGAUUCAUGGAGAAUAAUUAAUUAGGUGAUGAUUGAAGGUCGGUGACCAGCUAGAAAUCGGCCACCUGAUUGACCGAUGAUGUUGCGCAAGGGCCGAAGUAGCCCUUUCUUUCCACGGGGGAGUUCAGAUGAUGGGGUUUACGUACGAUUUAUAGUAAAAUAUUGCAAGCGGCAAUGAUGCGGAAGAUCUGCUUUGGACAAAUAGAGGAUAUCUGAGAAGCCCCUUUAUUCAAAGCUUUAUUAAUGACACAAAGUGCAUCUUAAGAAGCUCUCUCUUUUUCUUAAUUAAGGGAUCACGCGGUAUCUAAUUCCAUCCACAUCUUUCCAGAGAUAAAGGCUUUUGGAUGAUUUACAUUUUUGUAUGUAUGUAUGCUUUUCAAUUGAAAUGAGUAAUUAGUCUUCAAUAAUGCUUUGACUAUUGGAACGAUUUUUUAAUAAGCAAAGUGAUUUAUAAAUACCAAAUCUAUGGGCAGGCGAAUGAGAUAUCAUCAAGCAUCCAUUUAUAAAUUAUUAUAUCAAGGACGGUGCCGUCACUUCCAACAAGUAACGGUGCAAUAUGGGCUAGUCAUUUUGUUUUGAAUAUAAUGGGCAACCGGAUCACAUAUUUGCUUUAGAGGAUAAUCUAUUUUGCAUCCAUUUAAUAUUUAAAGAAACAAAUCUACUGAUAUUCGGGAAAAAAAAGUUAUUGACUGUCAAAUGUUUUGCCAGAGAUGCGGUUUCCGGCGAAUAUGAGAAUCUUGAGGCGGUGGACGCCGGUCAGGAAAGCGGGGAAGCCGUCACAGAAGGCAUUGCCGUUUAGGUAGAGAGGGGCUUGAGGUUGACAAGGCGAGAGAGGUCGGGGACUUUGUUGGAUAUGGAGCUGUUCUUGAGGUUGAUGACACAAAGCUGGUCAGCCGGUUCAGGGUCUUCCCGUCCAACGUGACGUGCAAGUUCAAGGACUCAAGGAUGAGCUUGGGAGCCGGCCGUUCACGAAGAAGGCCUUCAUUUUGAUGUGGCGAGAGAAGACCACCAAUUUGGCUCAUUUUCAGAGAAUCAAUGUCUGUGCUUUCUCCCUCUCCUUUUGGACUGAAUUGCUAAACAAGAAGGCGUGAAAAAGCAAAGGAGAUGAUGGGAGGAGGGGCAAUAAAGAAAGUGGAUCUACUCACACUGUAGAAGGACCGGCUUGGCUUCUACUGCUUAUUACCCACCGAUUACUCACAGCCACACAUGGGGAAAAUUGAAAAAAAAAAGACAAACCCUAGAAGUUGCAGUUGCAAAGACACUGUUUAAGGGGGGAGAGAGAGCUCCAAUGGAAACCCAAAAAGAGAGAGAUGCUUUGAACCUAGAAAAGAUAUGCGGUUCCCAAGGACAUUAAAUGUCAGACCCAAAAAAAAGACAUCAUCAAAUGGGAAGUGAUGAUGUUAAGGAGGAAAGGAAAAGGGUUUGCUUAUUUUUCCUUCGUAGUCUUUUCUUCAUCUGAGAAGGAAAGGGUAAAUACAUUGCGGAGGAGAGAGAGAGAGAGGAGGCAGGGGUCGCAUCCAGAUUAGGAGAGAAACGGAAGAAGGCUAGGGAUAGGACCAAGGGAGGAAGGUUUCCCCCCCCGAUUUCUCCGAGAAAUGAUUCGGAUUUGCGCAUUUUCACGUGCACGCGCUGCGCCACCUCCUGGGUCUUGCCACGUCUCGCUGCACCAGCAUCUUUAGAGAAGCGGAUAUUCAUCUCCUUUCGCUAAACACUGUCCCUCCCCCAAGCUUAACUCCCUGUUCUCCUUCCCUCCUCUCUUCACUCUCCCCAACAACCAUCACCUCCCCAACAGCUCCGCCCACCACAAGCCCACCCGGUUUUCCCCAAUGGCCUCCUCCUCCGCAGCCGCCCACCGCCUCCUCCACCGCCGAGCCAAGGUGGUCGUCAUCAUGGGCGCCACCGGGUGUGGCAAGUCCCGCCUCUCCAUGGACCUCGCCUCCCUCUUCUCUUCCGAGGUCAUCAACUCCGACAAAAUGCAAGUCUACCGGGGCCUCGACCUCACCACCAACAAGAUCAGCCGAGCCGAUCGCUACCGCGUCCCCCACCACCUCCUCGGAUCCUUCGACCCGGACGACGGCGAGAUGACCCCGUCGCAGUUCCGCUCCCUCGGCCACGCCGCCAUCUCCGGCGUUGCCUCCCGAGGGAAAAUGCCCCUCCUCGUCGGCGGUUCCAACUCCUUCAUCCAUGCACUCCUGGUGGAGCGGUUCGACCCGGAUGCAGACGUGCUCGGCGGGAUCGGCUCGCCGGCGAGCCCCGAGCUGAGGUAUGACUGUUGCUUUCUGUGGGUCGACGUGUCGCUGCCCGUCUUGCAGGAGUACCAGUCGAAGCGCGUUGACGAAUUGAUCAACAUGGGCACGUUCGAUGAGCUCACUGGAUACUACGACCUGCGCCGGACCAACCCGGGGGGUUGGACCGGGCUGAGGAAGGCCAUAGGCGUGCCUGAGUUCGACCGUUAUUUCAUGAAAUACCCGCCGCCGAGGGGGUUUGGGCCGGGGGACGCGUGGUGGGAGGAGGAUGCGAGGGAGCGGGACAACGAUCCGGUGCGGGAGAGUGCAUACCAGGAGGCGGUAAGGGAGAUAAAGAAGAACGUGGGGCAGCUGAUAAGGCGGCAGAUUGAGAAGAUCCAGAAGCUGAGCAGGAGCGGGUGGGAGCUGCAUAUGCUGGAAGCGACGGAGGCGGUCCGUCUGGCGAUGGCGGCCGAGGAGAAGGGCUGCGGCAGGUCGCGGGACGUUUGGGAGAGGCAGGUCGUGGGGCCGAGCAAGGAGAUUGUGAGUCAGUUCUUGCAAGAGAAUUAGGUGGAGGGGCCAAGCGUGGAACGGCUCGAUCGAUUUGGGUUCGUGUCGCUCCGGGCGAAUUUUGGGUGGGGUAUUUGGUUUCCGUCAGUACUACUCGGGGGUUGCAAUUUGGAUAUGGUGUUAAUAAUGGAAGAAGCUCAUUUCGGUAAUAUGCUUCUUCUAGCUCAUUUCGGUAAUGAUGAUGCUUCUUCUUGUUACGUGCAUCAUGAAUUGCAAGAAAAUUGCAGCACUGAACACUACCUAGAGUUUUGAUAACCUAGAGUCUAUCAUUUCCAGAUGUGCUUUUGGACGCUAUCUAGAUGAAACGCGACAGAUUAGGUGAUUUUUAGCGAUGAUAUCGGCAGAGAAGUGUUUGUAUAUCCAUGCAUUUGCUGAUUAUCCUACAUAAUCGCUUAACAUGUGUAUCCAAAGAAGUCGAGCAUCAUCAUUACGGACUUGAUAAAAGCUACUUAUGGAAAUGAGUUCCUAACAAUGAUGCUGGAUGAAAGCACUGUAAUGAUGAUGCUCGAUGAAAGCUACUUAUGGAAAUGGGUUCCUAACGAUGAUGCUCGAUGAAAGCAACUGUAAUGAUGGUAAUGAGUUCCUCAUGAUGAUGCUCGAUGGAAGUACCGUAAUGAUGAUGCUUGACAAAAGCUACUUACGGACAAAAGCUACCUACGGACAAAAGCUACCUACGGAAAUGAGUUCGUAAUGAUGAUACUCGAUGAGAGCACCGUAAUGAUGAUGCUUCCUAAAAGCUACUCACGGAAAUGAGUUGGACGUUAAUAAUGGACGUGAGUCCUGAAUAGACCCUUAUUAAUAAUGGAAGAAGCUCAUUUUGGAUUAGCAUGUCGCAACCUUAUCCUCGCAAUGCACCACAUAAGGAUUUAGUCAAUGGAUUAUUAAGCCCAAUUCUGAUUCGGAUUCUUUUAAGCCUAUACUAAUUUUCAACUUAUAGUUCAUGUUCUAAAUAGACUAAUCAUUUUUAAUAUAAAAUUGUCACUAAUUAAUUUAUUAUAGAUCGAUUAGAUAUUCAAAUAAGAUAAUGAAAGAAUCAUUUUACUUAUACGAACAAAAUGUUUUUGGUUUGUGGACUUGAUUGUAUUAGAUUUCUUUAGUGUCCUUUCGAUAACGUUCUUCUUAUGAAAAAAAUAUUUAAUGGGCAAUUUAAAUUCAUUUUAUUAUUCCUUAACGUGUGAAAUGAAUAUACCGAUACAUAAAUCAUCAAUUUAAUAUCUAAUAAAAUAAUAAAUAAAUUUGUUGCACUGGCGAUCGCCUAAAGCUCAGCCCUUUUUAAACGGGCUAGGCGUCGCCGCAUUCCUUGAGAUCGUGGGAGAAGGAGAUUCGAGGGGUGAGAAGACUGGAGCUGGAUGUCCCCGAGCAAACGUCGAUCGCCAUCGCCGGACCAGUAUCGCGUGGCGCGGAUCAACCGGUCGAAAAUUUUCCUGUCUUAUUACUGUCCCCUGAUAAGGUUUGCCUAAAGUUUUGACGUGGGUCAACUGGGGCCCACAGUCCUCUCUCUUUCCCAGAUUUUCUUUUUUUAUCUCCUCUCGAGAUAAAAUGAGAAGGCCUUUCGACGUGGCGAUUUCCCCCUUUUCCCCUUUUAAUUUUUCCUCCUUUUUUUGACCGUAAUUAAUUUUUUUUUGGUCGAAACCGUAAUUAAUUUAUUAAUUUAUUCUUAAUCAAAUUCCCCCCCCCCCCCCCAAUUUUUUUUUUGAUCUCAAACUCCCCCCUUCUUUAAAUAUCCACUUUUAACUUGAAUUACAAUGGAGCCCCAAAAAAAACUUGAAUUACAAUGAUAACAAUAAUGAGAGCAAGUCCGUUGAGGCUCGAACAGUUUUUAGUACAAAAGAAAAGAGAGGAAAAACCAAAAUAUGUAUAUAUUAAAAGAAGAGUAAUGCUAGGCUUUAGAGUUGAUUUAUAAAAUAGAUUUACUAAGUGAUGUGUACAAUACGUUAUGUGUGUGUGUGUGUUUUUUUUUUCUAACAAGCGGGUUCUAAUCAUGAAUUAAGAACAGCCCGAUGUAUAGCAAUUUUGAAAGCCAGACAGAUGAGUCAAGCGAUUUUCAUGUAAGAAGGAUCUCACCACGACUCUUCUUGAGUUUUUUAUAUGAGAACGCCAGGAGAUUCCUUCUCCGCUUUUUAAGAGCUUGUUCGAAUUAAGACGUGUCUCAUUGUGUCAACUAAUUGCUAUUAUGGAUAGGUGUCUUAAUUUCGAUACUACUUUUGUCAAGAAAAUAUCUACCAUUUUUCUUUUCGGGCUUUUAAAUUAUGUGCAUCUAUCACAAAGGGAAAGAGGUAACUACACGAGUUCAAACUCAAACUUCAACUUGUUGCUCAAUUAGAAAUAACUUCAGCAUCAAUUAAUUUUUUUUUUCAUUUUCAUUUUCAAUGGAGUGGUUGAGAAUGAAAUGAAAUUUGUGCUUAUUCCAUAUCCUUAUUUAAAUAGACAAAUGGUUUCAUGGGAAAGUUUAUAGGAUUGGAAUCGUCAUUUUACUAUCGAUGUUCUCACUUCCAUUGGGUCUAUUUGCAUCACAUAUUUUUUUUUUUUGUACAUCAUAUCUCCGUUCGCCACUUUCAUUGAUUUGGCCUCAUUCAUCCAUGGUUAUGUCUUUUAAAUGCGCCACUAAACGCGAGGUGGAAAAGAGUGGAAAAGUGAUCGAAAAGGUAUUAAAGAGAUAAUCACGGUUGCGCCACCUUCGUGAAAAUAUGCAAGUCGCCGUACUCUCCGGCAGGCCAUUGUCCGCGGAUUGGACUCUUAUAAGUUGUCACAUCCAGUGACUGGGUUCCAUUUAAUGGGGGAUGAUUAAGCCUUUUUGAUUAAGCCCUAAUUAAUUAGGAGAUCAAGCGUUCUUUUCUUCUUCUUUUAUGGGAGGAAACGACAUGAGUGGAUGCGAUGGUUGUCCCCCUGUCCUUUGUGCGUUCCGUGCAUUUGAGGCUCACAGGGGUGGUCUUUAUUUGGCAGAGACUUUCCGUUUUGCCUAAAUUUGACAAGAUUUUUCAUGGCUAUCAUACACGACCCACCUUCGUCGUUAUCGAUUAGGUGAUUAAGGUUUGAAAAAUCGACAACUACUUAAAUUACUGGUGAUAGAUGGAACACGCAGUAAUUUGAAUAGUAUACGUAACUUGCUCUUGCUACUUCUCUUGUUGCACGAGCGGGAUGAUGAUUCUACGGAGGUGCUGCAAAAUGAAUGUCAAAGCUUCAAAAGUAUUCACGGUCCUAGUCCGACGAAAGACGCAAAGACAAGUAACAUAAGAAUAAUAAAGUGGGAGGAGAGCCCACCCCAAGUUUUGCCUGCUUGUAGAGCAUUGAAAAUGGUGUUUUGGAGACGAGAACGUUCUCGUCCGAUCCCCACUUUCCAUCGUACCGAUUCCCUUUUCCUCUUUAGGUAAAAGGGCUGGAUGAGCGAUCCACAUCGAUAAUAUCAGUAAAAGAGCUCGAGACCCACGGUUGAAAUACUCGAUUUGUGCUACAGCUAUCGUUUACUCUUGAAGCGAGUCGGUUGUCGCCUCAUUACCUAAUCCGAGCAAGAGUAAAGUCCGUGGGGCGAUACUUUCGAGUCGAAUAACGCCGCCGGAGAUCCAAACGUAGCAAGCAAGUCUCUUUGACCAAAAUCUGGCUAAAAAGUCCAUCACUUCCUCUUCCUAAAUCAGCUUUCGAAAGAUAGUGUUUGAUCCUAUGCGUUCCCAUUUAUCAAGAAAAACGAUAAUCAGUGGCUACCGACUAGGCUACGUGGCCUAAACGGUGAAGGCUCGGAAGGGAUGGAGAUGGGACGGUGGGGGCGUUUAAACUUGUGGACCCACUAGGAUGCUUUUUAAUUAAUCAUCACUCAGUUUCGGUCUCCAAUUCUAGAACCCAACCCAUACAUACCCAGUUUGUAAAUGCCUAUAGAGAAGAAGAAAGAAAGAAUCUGACUCCUUCAAUUGGAAAAUGAAUCAUUUAAAAAUCAUUUUUCAAAAAAUUGAUCGAAAGAAAUGCCGGCCAAAUAAGAUUGUUUUUUGAAAUUCGUCGACAAAUUGAUAUAAUAACUUACAAAUGGAUGCUUGAUGAUGUCUCAUUUGCCUGCAUAUAGAUUUGGUAUUUAUAAUUCACUUUGCUCAUAAAAAAAUAGUUCCAAUAAGUCAAAGCAUUAUUGAAGACUCAUUGCUCAAUUCAACUGAGAAGCAUACAUACAUACAUGAAUGUAAAUCAUCCAAAAGUCUUUUUCUCUGGAAAGAUGUGGUUGGAAUUAAAUACCACCCGAUCCCUUAAUUAAGAAAAAGAGAGAUUCAUGAGAUGCAAAAUUGGAUAUUUACAAAUGUACAUUUUAAUUAUUUUUUUAUAUAAUCUAAAGGCACAAGCGUGGAAACUCAACUAUUUAGGAAAUGUUUGGUUAAUACUCUCGAGAACAACUGAUUUUUUUUUUUCACGUGAGUAAAAAAAGAAUAGAAAUCUAUUUGGUCAAUUUUUUGUUUCAGAGAAUAAUCAAUUUUUUAUUGUUUCCAGGAAUAGAUUUAGAAUAGAAUCAAAAAACAGAAAAAAGUUAUUCUUANNNNNNNNNNNNNNNNNNNNNNNNNNNNNNNNNNNNNNNNNNNNNNNNNNNNNNNNNNNNNNNNNNNNNNNNNNNNNNNNNNNNNNNNNNNNNNNNNNNNAAAAAGAGAAGAAAAUAAAUGAGAGAGAAAAUUUGUUCUUCAGAAGUAUUUUUAGAACAAAAAAAUAACUUUUUUUUGUUUCUAAUUUUGUUCCCGGAACAAACAAAAUAGAUUUUGAACAAAAACGCAAACAAACGCAUUUUUGUUCUUAUUUUUGUUCCUAGGAACAAAAAAACAGUUCAUGAAUAAGAAAAAGAAACACAAACAUGCUGGCCCCAAAUAUUUGUCAUCGUAUGGUUAUAUUCAUGUGACUUUACCUGACUUCAUUAUAUCUUCCAUUUCUGUAUGCUUACCUUCGAGCGUCGACAAUAUCUGAAAAGAUCGCAACAGAGAUCGCGACAGAGGACAAUGACAAUUUUGACAAUUUUAAAGCUGAACCUCUUGCCGAAUUCUCGAACCUUUCAAACGAUUGCUCCCGGUAAUAUUCCCAUUGCCCUUUUGACGAAAAUCCAUGUGAGAGUGGGGUCAGUCUGAAAAACUCUUUAUCAAUGCGUCAAUUCAAGCACGCCGAACCAGCGAUGCCAUGCUUCGCGGGCGAAAAGAAAAAGAGAAAAACAAGUGCACUUUUUCUUAUCCGCUCAGGGUAACCCUCGGGCUUGAGAGCAGUAAAUAUGAACCGAUGUCUAUGCAAUCCUAUGUUCUUUGUUCCUCAGUUUUUCCCACUACAUUUUGAGGUCUUGCUGAGUUACUUUACAUUAUAUAGGUCUCUCAAUCUCGAUUGAAAACUCGGUUGAUACAAGGUAUUCUUCCCCGCCUUCUACAUACAAAAAAAGAAAAAGAAAAAUAGUUUAAGUUAGUCUAUCAAUCUUAGAGAUAAAAAGAUGAUUUUUCAAUUUCUUUCCCCUCUUUUUAAAUACGUUAUAUUAGCUCACCAAGAAUGAAUAGUACAAAUUGAACAAAUUUACUGACCCGGGAAAGUACCAAUUUGGAAUAUUCACCUUAUUUUUCACCAGGCGUUUCGAUUCACAAAAUUAGGUGAAUUCAUGAACAUUGGAAGUUCCAUGUCACGGCAAAACAAAAACCCUAAGUCCAGCGCGUCCUUCCCCUUUUUCCCUCGUCACGGGCCAAAAAUCUAUCAUUUGUGCGUUGGUUUUGCCUCCCUUCAUCGAUUCAUCUCAUCUUCUCCAUCAAACCCAUAAUCCAGAUUCUCUGCUCUCUGCUUGCACGCGCCGCUCAGACAAAAUCCGAAAAGCUUCGAAAGCUGCGAGUUGCCGACUUCUCUCUCGCCGCUCCUUUCGACUCCCCGAACCCCACCUCCUAUCUCAAAUCCUCGUGGGCGCUUCUCCACGCACGUAUCGUGAAGAUGCGACGGGAGGCUCCGUUCGCCUUCUGAGAGGAAAAUGCUCGCGAUACUCUCUUUGACUCUGCUUUUGCUCUGUUCUUCCGCGCCGCGCGAUACCCCCGAUCCGGCAAUGGCGAUGGACGUUUGCUCGGAGAUAUCCAGCCCCGGUCUACUCAGCCCUCGAAUCUCCUUCUCCCCCGAUCUCAAGGAAUGCGGCGACGACGCGCUUGUCGAAGAAGAUGACCACAGUCGACGCGAGAGGCUCGACCGGUUGCUGAUGGACUCCGACUCCGACUUCUGCGUCGGCCAGCUCUCCUCAGCCGACGACCUCUUCUCCGACCGCAAGGUCCUCCCUGACGAGAUCAGGAGGGACGGAGUGGUAACUGCCGACCACAGUAAUUGUCUGCCGAAUAUCUUGGUCUCAUCCUCCUCCUCCAUCUGGGACUCCGAUUUCUAGUGCUGCGUUCACGGAGAAGAGGAGUCUGAAGGAGCUCCUCUUCGGACAGCUUCGACGACGACGACGACGAAGGGGAUGAGAAGCCGCUGCCGAAGCUAUCCUGGCAGUUCAAGUGCACUUAAUUGUGACGUUGCCAGGAGCAGAGGACCGAUUCGGUCGCUGCAGUUCCUCUCGCGGAGUAACUCGGUCGGUUCAGUUCCGAAUCCAAAGGACAAAUUCGCCUCCAAGGACAACCCGAGGCAGAAUUUGCAGAACAGCCCUCCAUAUCUGGUCAAAGACGGUCGUCGGAGUCAUAUCAAUCCUCCUUCGGCAUGCCAUCAGAAGCCCCCGACGACGAACAAACGAGACAGACCCAGCGUGAGGGUCAAUCCUGACUUGAAUUUUCAGCCCCACAUCAAACGAUCAGGACGGUGAUCUUGUUCGGGCUCGUUUCGCUUUUCUGUAAUGGCAAGGUCAGAAAGAAAAAGAAACGAGUCAUCCUGAUUAAUCUGCUUUGUUAAUUUGCAUUAGCACAGAGAAAAAAAAAAGAAAAAAAAAAAGAGAAGAAAUGAGCUUUUUGAAUGCUUCUGGUUUUGGUGCACAUGUCUAGAUAGAUUUUGUGGUGGUAGAUAUGGGGGACCUGAUGGAAUUAGCACGGGAUAAGGUCAUCGAAAAGAAUUCCAGGAAAAUAUAAUGUACGGAAUGCAUGUUUAAAGAUCCAGUUUCGUUUUCUAAUAGUGGGCCCUAUAAGCCUUUGACCAGCGUUGCAUAAGCAUCAGGUAAGAUAAUCAUCUUGUUGUCUAUCCAGCCGAAAGUCGCAUGCUGUUGUUAGUAUUCUAAAUUCAUCUUGUUUUGGGGACUUUUUUUAAUAUCUCGGACUUUUAAGCGACGUGAAAAAUAGAUAGAAUUUGCAUAAUAGUGGCAAAAAUAUAAUGAGCCAAAGGAAUUUGGCUCAUUGUUAAAAAAAGAAAGAAAAGGAAUUUGCAUAUUUGCAUCGUACUCUUUGUGAGUUUUUUGUGUGUGAAAAUGUUUUUUUUAAAGGUUCAGGGGAUGCAGAGAAAGCAAAGGAGUACUUAGCCAAAAGGAGUGAUGAGCAAACAGAUGGUGACAGUGUGGUUUUAUCCCUUGUGCUCAAAGCUACAUCCAUCAGGCUGUUCAAUAUGCUCCUAAUGACUGGUAAUAUGUAAUGUGAAAUCUAUAUGUUCAAAGUUCAUAUUGACAAAUAUUGCAAUGAUCCCGAGCAUUGUUCUCAGAACAUUCGCACUAUGUUGUCUCAAAUGCUAUGGAUGCGUCUUUUGGUUUUUCGAUUGCAGUUAUGUUCUUACUUCAUGUCCUCAUGAUCACGAUCACAUUCAUGAGGCAGAUGAAGAACUGGGGUUUAACACUAGUCAAACUUGUGUAUCUAAUUGCUCAACUGACCACCCUUGUACUAACUGUAAUCUUACAGCUGCUUUAAGCGCCACUUUAACUCUUCUAAUUAGUUUCAAACCAUCUGUUGAAUUUUAUGACGGAAGAUUUAGUCACAGUAGUAGUGAUGGCCACUCUCUUGUCGCUAGACGCCAUCUUUGGCAAUGGCUUUUUAUGGCCAUCCUAGAAAUCCCUAACAUGCCUGACACUUUUCGUUUAAACGUUACACUAAUGAAGAUAAUUUAAAAGUAUAAUCUUUUCUAAGCAUAUGUAACCAUUGAUCUUUCCCAUUACAACUUUAUUACUUCCGUGCUCCACUUAGAAUUGUUUAGUAACAAUUUAUUGAUGAGGCUUUGUACUUAUAUACAAAUUGACAAGCAUUAAGGCUAAUAUAUAUAUAUAUAUAUAUAUAUAUAUAUAUAUAUAUAUAUAUAUAUAUAUAAAUAUAUAUAUAUAUAUAUAUAUAUAUAAUAAAAUUCAUGUAUAUAUAUGGAUUAAUACGACUGACUUUCAAAAGCUAAAUGAGUAUUGAUAGUUUAUAUGUUGUCUCAAUAUAUUGUUUUGUCCUUAUUUCUUCAUUUGCCAAAUAUCUUAGUGUAGACAAAGUACUCUAUCAGAUCUCGUAUAUCAUCUCUAUCGAUCACAAUUAGAGACUUAACAAGUGAGCCUAUCGAACAUUAAGUAUGCAUUAUGUUUAUAUUUUCUAAUUUUCAUAGUGAUAUUUAUUUUAAUAAACGAUCAUAAGAUUGAAUGUGAUUAAUUUAAAUUUAGUUGCGGUCUUAAAGCUUUAGGAUGAUUAUAAUGCAACUAACUAUAACUGAAUUAGGUUUUGUGGCUAAUUUAAUAUCUUAUUACAAGUACGUUUUGUCCCCAUCACUAUCAGUCAGCUAAAAUCGGAUCUUAAUUAGAAUUGAUUAGCUCAACUAUAUAUUAAUUAAGGCCCAGCCGACCUAAUCUCAGUAAUGAGUAACAAAGUCUAUGUCAACAUGACCAGCUCAUACAUCCGGUAGCCAUUCAGUUGGUGAAAAGCAUAGGCAGAUUUAUGGAGGCUACAAUCUAUCCGAGAACAAGCAUACAUUUUGAUAAAUUGAAGCGUUGGGAAUUGGGAUGGAUAUGAACAACGACCAAAUAUGGUAGGUUUCAUUUUGAACUUACAAUUAAAUUGAUGGAAAACAACUUACAUUGGCCAAGUGGUAAUAUAUUCUUUUUAAUAAUUUCUUUGGGUUUGGUGGGUAUUUCAUAAUACAUUGUUGGAAGAUGGGCUCAAUAUUAUCUGAAAUGUGAAUACUAGAAAAUGGUGCCAAGUAAAAAUUAGCUGAUGGUUGUGGCUUUAGGCAAAUCAGAGAACCUUUUCCAGAGUAUGUUACCUCAAGGAUGUUAUUGAUUCACUUCCCAGAAAGGUAUCCACUUAACAGCCUACAACAUGUGGGCACAUAUACCCUUAUCCAUGAAAUAUGCUCAUCUUGUCUUUGUUGCUAUCUAAAUUUUAGCUAUCUAUUUAGGGUUUAAUUGUAUAAAAAAUUGGGGAUUAACAUUUAACUCCCAAAAAAUCAUUUGAAUUGCAUAGCAUAUAAGCUUUAGAAGUAUCUGCAUUGAGUAGCGAUAGAAUUCAUUAAAAUUAUUAUUAUUUUAUUUAUUAGAAGAAAAGAAAAGACGGAGCCAGACCGGGCCAGGUCAACCCGGACCCCUAUCUAUUUUCCGUCUGGGCCUGGCCCAACUCUUUUCUCUCUUUUCUUUUCCUCCGCGCAGGCCAGCCCAUCAUCCUUUUUCCCAGGCCCGGCCCACGUGUGUGUUGGUGUGCUUCUCCUUCACGCCGCUCGCGCCUUCUGCAAAAGGAACAGCGACAGGAGCAGAGCAGGAGGAAAGCAGCUGGCGGCGUGAUCCGCGGGGGUCAGGCCGACCUGUAACCUGGCAAUGGCAGACGCCAUGCGUGCUUGCCAGUUUCCCUUAAAAGUAAAAGAAGAGGCUCACUCACUGGAGACAGAGAGAGAGCGGAGAAGAGACCGAGAGUAAGAAAUUUUUUGUCCGCUCGCUUGAACCACCCUCGACCUUCGUGGGAAGCGAACUAGCGCGUCAUCGUUCGUCACUGCAAACUCCCGAACCAGGUAACCCCGAAAAGGUCCUGCCUCUUCCUUGCUUAUUGAGUUUGAGAACGUCAAACCGAACCGACAAGAUUACCGUACAAAACUCAAACUGAUUUGUUGCCACUAAUGUCGAUUUAGAGCUCAAUAUACUGCGUUUAAGCCACGAACGACGUUAAGUCUGAAUCUGGAAGUGGUAUGUCGAAUUGCACAUCAACUUUUUGACAAAAUGCUUGAAUGACGCCCCGAAUUGGAGUUCAUGAAAUCGAUGCUUAAAAUCUUUCUGUUGCGCUCGGCUUGUUCUAAUAUUAUUGCAUUAUUACUGAAUCCGGGUUUCUCUUUGAUUUUGUGACAUAUCAUUUGAUGCACGAGUCGGCCGUGGAUAACGUCUUCACGCCGAAAAAUCCACAGCCCUCGCCGGAGAAGUCCGCGGUUAGAGGCCGCCAUAGUCGGUCUUACUUUUGUCUCGGUGUGCAUAUAUACGUUUGGUUUGUUGGAAGGGCUUUCGUUUUGCUAUCGGCAACGUUAGGUGUUAACAUCGAGUCGAUUAGAGUUCUGGCGUGAGUUAGUUCAAUGAAGUUUCAGUAUUGAGUUCGUCGAAGAAAAAGCCUUGGUGAAGAAGAUCUCGUCGUGCGAGACCGCCAAAGGAGAAGACGACGUAAAGCAAAAGAAAAGGGCCAAAAGAAUGUAAAAUUAAAAAAUAUAUACAUUAAAAAAAUCAGAAGAGAACCAAAAAUUCGGAUCAAGUGGCCACGUCAGGGAGUUGUGGGUAAAGAAUAGAAUGGGCCUUUUUUGAGUGCAUGGGCUACAUGAUUUUUUUCAUAAAAGAUGGGCUUGAGAUAGUUUUUCUUGUGAGGGAUAUGGGCUUGUUACAGUUCUAGUCGAUCUGGGCUUUAUUUAGUUUGAAUACACUCGGGCUUGAAUUGUUGUAGAUGCUAACCCAUCAAAUUCAGGUCGGGCCAUACUCGGACUGGGCCCUAGGGCCGGUCCGAUUUCGGACCCAACCUGGACCGGUAAGGUCCGAGUCAGACAACAAUCGGACCGGUAUCUCUGACCCGAGCCGAGUCACAUAUUCCAGAAUUAAAAAUUCAAAAAUUAAUAAAAAAUAUAUAUAAAUCAUUAAAAUAAUUAAAUUUCAAAAAUGUAAAAAAAGUAAAUUAAAAAAUUAAAAAAAUGAUUAAAAUAGGUAUUCAUGAAAUUUUUAAGUUUUAGCAUUAGAUUUAGUUUAGUUUCAUUUAAUUAAUAUACAUGUAGCAUAGUCCUAGUGGAGUAUCAUUUUGAAAGAAAUUAAACUUGAUUUGAAUAUAGCUCAUGGGGAUUAUGUCCUAGGGCUUAUAAAGUGGCCAUGUAUAUUCUUUGCUUGGCUUGUAUUAGGUUUUCUUUUUGGCAUUUACUUUAAAAGUCAUUUCAAUACUUGAGUGCUUGUUUAACGUACUGUUUUUCAAUAAAUUGGUUGUUUAUCACUUUCUUAGAAUAGGUUAGGAUUAAUUUUGAGGAAAAUGAACCCUACAAAAAAAUUUGCACGAUCAUUUAGCAACUUUGGUGCCUUUAGGACUAUAAUUGGCAAUUAAGACCGUGUGACCACUUAAGUAAUGACCUUCUAAGUUAGAGGUAUCAAAAAGGUGCUAAUAGACAUUGACAUAAUCAAUUUCCUGAUUUUAAAAUUUUUGAUUGCAUAGGAAUUGAGAUGAUACGUUAGUGUUUCGAUUGAUUUCUAAUUAACCUCAAUAGGCUAAUGACGACUCUUAGAAAUAUUUAUAUUGUUAAGAAUUAAAAAGAAAAAAGAAAAAAAAGAAAAUGAAAUCCAACAUUGUGCGAGGUAUGAGCUUGAGAGGGCCCGCCCUUAAUCAAGGGCCGUUGGCUUGAAUUAGCAAUACCUUAAUCUAUUUCUUUUCCCUUCAAACAUAAAGGGUAGGUCACGAUAGUCUUUUUUUUUUUGCCNNNNNNNNNNNNNNNNNNNNNNNNNNNNNNNNNNNNNNNNNNNNNNNNNNNNNNNNNNNNNNNNNNNNNNNNNNNNNNNNNNNNNNNNNNNNNNNNNNNNAAGAAUCCAACUCUUCUUUUGUAUAUUAUGCCCUUAUCAGAUACUUCGCAAGUAAUUGAACGAUUCUCUUUUAAUACUACUACAUAGCUAUUCACCACACGAUAAUAAUAUCGACUGCAACUUGGUCAUGUGUAGGUCUAGAUGAUCACCAGAAUCUUUCUACCAUAGCUGAAACAGCUUUUUACAUCCUGUUAGCAAGUUUUCUAACAAUAUCGCCCUCAAAAUUUUGAUUGAAGGUUUUAGAGAUUAAUGAUCCCAAAGCCUAGACUUUUGUUACACUCUAAGCUACGUUUGGUCGACCGGAUAAAAGCUUGGAUAGGAUAUGUUUUAUCAUAUCCGGUGUUUGGUAGCCGGCUAGGAUAUGAUAAGGUCAGAUAUAGAGGGGAUAUAGCCCGGAUAAAAAAAUCCGAGGGGGAGGGGUGGGAUAGCCCCGGAUAGGAUUUUUCUUGUUGAUCUAUUAUUAAAAAACCCUAUGCUCUCCUUUUCCUUCUCCUUCUCUCACACGCACGACUCCUCUCACAAAAAACACGUCUUUUUCUCGGUAUCUCUAAUCCGACGAAUUCAAGCACCAUCUCCGGCGAGGAGCCACAGCGAUUAUGCUUUCUCACAAGAUUUCAUCUUUCUCUGUGCAUUGAUAUUCGCACGAUUUACAAGGUUUGUGAUUUCCUUCCUUGGUUUUGCUUUCAUAGGUGCAAUCAAUUGUGGCUCAUGAAAAUGCGACUCUUUUUCCAUGAAAUCCUACUUUACAGUGCACCCUACUUUUGUUUUUCCACGAAUUUCAUCACUUGGUCACCAUUUCUUUUCAUACCCUAUUUUUGUAAGGGUGAGCAAAUGUUUAUCUGGAGUGAGAUUCGAUCAAUAAUGUUUCUAGCAUUAAAGCUGUCUAUAUCUUUUCACGAUUAUGCUUUGUGAAUACCUGAUCUCAGUAGGAGAUAUUAUCCAUUGCUUGUGUGGCAUUAUCUUUUACAAAUUCAAUGUGGGAAAAAAAAUAUAUGAAUUAGAAGUAAAUAUUAGAACUGUGUUGUUGUUGGUUUAUGUGUUCUUGUGGUUGGAUAUUUGCAAUUUUAUUGGUGCGGUGGAUCAUCAUUGAUUUAUUGGUGAAUACCUAAUCUCAGUAGGAGAUAUUCAUUACUUGUGUGGUAUUAUUUACAAGUUCUACGUGGGAAAACACAUAUAAAUUACUAGUAAAUGUUAGAAUUGCGAUGUUGUUUUACAUUGUCCAUUUAUGUAUUCUUGUGGUUGCAUAUCUGCAAUUUUAUUUAUUUAUUUCCUGAUUGCGUCCCUCUUGUGAAGAAGAACGUCUUAAAUUUCUAUUGCUUGGCUUUGGCCAGUCUUAAGGACAUAUGCUUUUUGCUUUGAGUGUUUCUAUUUAGGUUGGCCUGAAUUAAAUACUAGGUUUCCAUCAUUAACUUCUGUAGUGUAGCAUGUUUCCUCAAUGGACAAUGCAAGAAGCAAGAUAAUGAUUGAACUUUUAGUAAAGAAUUAAAGCUAUGGGAGAUCUUGGCAUUAGAACGUGUGUAUGUAUUAAUUCAUUCUAGAAGCCUAGCACUCUCAAUUUUUGUGAACUGCAGUUGGUAUACUGGAACGCAUCAUCUACACGGGCUUAGACCUUGAUUGAAUUAACUGACUAAAGUACUAUAGAACCUGCCGCAAUCAAGGCUAGCUACAGUCAGUUGCUCAUCUAUUCUAGAGCCAAAUUAUAUACCUUAAUGUAACACAAUGGGAGUUACUCACAGUGGGUAUAAGGAAAACAAAUUCUCAUUAACAAAUAAUUUGCAAUUGUCCAAUUCUAACAAGUCAACAUUCUUUCAAUGCAACUUUCUUAAUUGACUCAUCUCAUAUUAGCAUACGCAAUAUCACUUUUUAAUUCUUUAUGCAUUUCGCAUAUAAUGCAUAAUCAUGGAUUGAUUUUGUGCGAUUUUGUGAGAAUCUGUUGACUUAAAAAAAUAUUUCGUUUUGAAUGAUUUUGCUAUAAUCUAAUUGUUAGUUUGUACUUUCCUAAUUUUUUUUUCAGAAUCUAAUUGUUCAUGAAAAUAUCCAAGUUUAAAUCCACAAUUUACCAAACAGUAGAUAGGAUAUGAUAUGAGAAUAUCUGACUUUAAAUCCGUAACUCACCAAACAGUUGAUAAGAAAUAAAAAAAUCCCUGGACUUCUUAUCAUAUCCUAUCCAGUCCUAUCCCAUCUAGAAAUCUGGACGAUCAAACGCAGCUUAAGGGUCUCAAGCCUCGCCUUGAUGGACGAGGGACCUAGGAGAAAAUAUCGGCUGGGUUUUACCCUUCACGUAGGUCAAAUGUAACACCACUCGGAGAUUGACACGUGGCUCCACGUAGGGGCAAAGGGGAUAGAGGUUCAAAAUUUGCUCGCGCCGUCCUGAGCCCACCAUUCUGAAGCUCUCUCUUGUAUGCUCUCCUCUGCGACCUGUCACUCGUCCUCUCUCUCCUCUCUCUCUCUCCUCCGUUCUCCGUUCCGUUGCGGGGGAGAACAAAAAACGGAGGUGCUUCUCUCCAUAUGCUCUUCCCCCUCCUCUGCUCUCUCUCCUCCGCUGGUUGCCCGCGAUGCCGACGCCCCUCCGCUGGUUGCCCGCGAUGCCGACGCCCCUCCGCCGGUUGCCUCCAUCGCCCCCGACUCCGACACCGACGCCGACGCCCCUCCGCUGGUUACCUCCGUCGCCCCUCAAGUCGAUUGCCUUCGUCGCCCCCGACUCCGACGCCCCUCAAGCCGGUUGCCUCCGUCGCCCCCGACUCCGACGCCGACGCCCCUCCGCCUCCGCCUCCGCCUCCGCCCCCGAUGCUUUUGCCUCCGCCUUUGUCCGUGUCUGUUCUGACAGUAUUUGUGGAGGGAGGAGCAUUGUGGGGUGAAAUUUUGAAGAUUUUGUUGCUUUCUUUUCAUUUUGAGAAGAAUAUAGUUUUUACAACUACAUGAGAGGCACCGUUCAUACUAUUUCAAGUGUUGCAGAUUCAUUAUGCAUCUUGAUUGCUAUUUCACACUUUUUAAUGGAUUGGAUGUUCACUAGCAAAUGGUUGUCAACUACUACUUUGUUUCAUCCAUGCAGAGUGAUUAAGGCUGCAAAGAAUGUCUUGGGACCAACAUUAUCUGACCUCCAGCUUGCUGAAGGAGAGAUUAUUCUUGAUAUAGAUGGCACUGUUCCUCUGCAACCUGUAUUGCAGCGCAUUGGUCUCUCAGCUUGGCCUGGUGAGUUCUAUCCUGACAAUCUGUUAGCUGGUGGGAAAUCAAUUCCUGGAAUGAUGAUUUGACUGUAUCGUAGCUGCUGGAGUUUGAUAAUCAUGGACCUUUUAUGUGCAAGAUUACUUCUGACUGAAGAUUGAAUUCUUCAGCCUUGGAAACUUUUGCUUCUCAUCCCUAGCUUCCAUUUGUUAUGGGCAGAGCAAAUUGAAUUUGAAUUUGCCAAAUGAAAUAUAUGUCCCACAUACUUCAGCUUUAAGAUGAUUUCAUCCGUAUAUCUUCUAAUUUGCAACAAAGUCAGGAUUUAGGAAAUGACAGAGGUAAUAAGUGGGCAAUUUUUAUUUAUUUAUUUAAUUUGGUGGUUUUGUUCCCAUAUAGUAGUUAUGGAUUUUGAAACACAGGUUAAGGUACAGCUCUACUGGCAAUGUUACUUCAAACUUCAUAUGGUGAAUUCAAGGUGGGGGCCUAGAUUUUAGGGCUGGCUUGCCUUAACUACCACAAACUCUGGCUAAACAUCUCAUGCACUGUUAGGACAGAAACUAGCUUGUCAGUUUUAGAGACAUGUCAAAGAUGGAGAAACUGGAUCUUUUUUCUAGGUUGCUUAGUGUUGCUGGUUAACCAUGUACUAUGUGAGCUCAAGAACGUGUCAAGUGGAAUUCAGGGAAAAUGAACCUUUUUGUGCCGUUUCUCUAUUUUCAGAUGCUUUAGGAGCAAAUCUUUAUCUAUCUUAUUUAGUCCUCUGGGAAUUUAGUUCUUGGUUGCUUAUAGGAAAUCUCCUCUGUCUAGUUCAACUGGUAUUUUUCUUGGUUGUUUAGCGGUUGAAUAAUGUUAUAUUUUAGCUGAUCAAUUUUAGUGGUUACUAUUAAAAAUGGUCUAUCAAUUGUGAGUAUUGAUCAUUAUGAGCGAAAUGCCUGUUUCAGCUAGCAUGAAGGAGGUCCCACAAUCGACUUUGUUCCCGGAAGAAAGGUACUCUGUUUUAGCUGUAUGUGAGCAAGAUAAUUCUUACGAGUGCCUUAUUCAUUAAGUUUUUUUCUAUCUGCAGGAUUCAAGAGUUUCUCCAAACGAAGGAAGACUUCCAGAUGCUAAUCAAGGUAUUUUGUUGUGUCAACUUUCCCUUUGUUGUUUGGCCUCCCUUUAUUUCUCUCCAUCCCUCCCUCUAAAUAUUAUGGCCUACCAUGCUUCUUGUUGCUCCAGGCGAAAAGUUAAAUAACUAUUUAUUGUUUUUCUUAUGGUUGUGGCCUGUUAGUAUUGAAAUGUAUGUCCAUCUCAUCUGAAUAUCAAUUAGUAAGUUUCCAGAGGAAUGAUUUGAAUGAGAUAAGAAGCGCAGUGGAAAAAGAGGUAUCGGAGCUAACUGACAUUCGGAUGUUGUACAUCCCAUCUAAAUGUCAGUAAGUUUCCAGAUUAAGAACUGCACAAGCAAAAUGGGCACAGUGCCUAUUUCAUAUGAGUCAGCUGUUGUGAACUCACUACGAAGAAUGACUUGAGAGAGAAGUGCUGGGAUUUGAACUCUUGAUCUGUCAUAUGAAACAGUGCUAGAAUACCCAACCUAAAAGUUUAAGCUGUGAUGUGGAGAGAGACAACAUGUAUAUAAGAAAACUGAGCCAUUAGGUGAGAGAGACUAUAUGUGUAUGAGACUCAUUAUGACCACGUUUUCAGGGGAUGUUUGAUUAUAUUAAAAACAAUAUUACUUCUCAUGCAAACCCAGUUUGAUAUUUCACAUGAUAUUUUACAUCUGCAACUCACUGUAGCUGAUCGAAAGGAGGCUCAAAUGAAAGGAGGCCUUCAACCGCAGCUUGGUUAAGCUUAUCGAUUUGUGAUAUUCACGUUUAACAAUCCACUGCCUAUCCAUAACUUAUCAUAGCUCUAAAUCCAUAGGAGAUCUUUCAUGCGUUAUAAUUCUCUUAUUGGUGAAAUACACGUACAUUUUGCUUAAAGGGCAUUCGAAAUUUUUUCUAAACUUGUCAUUGCUGGAUGUAGGUCCUCCACGUCUAAGGGACAUCUUUUACAGGAUGGGUCUCUCGGACAAGGACAUAGUGGCCUUAUCAGGGGCUCAUACACUGGUAAUUUCUAUUUCUGCUUGGAUUUACAUUCACGGUCAGCUGGGGAUGCGCAACCACACUUGUUAUUUUUUUAUUCUUGUGUCUAGGGAAGGAAACACCCGGAAAGAUCUGGAUUUGAUGGUCCUUGGACUCAGGAACCCCUUAAGUUUGAUAAUUCCUAUUUUGUGUAAGGUUUCAUCUUUUCACUGGAUGCAUUUUCUAAGUUUCGGUUGGAGCAUUAUAGAGCCAGAUGCUAAUUGAUCAUUUUUGACACAGCGAGUUGUUGAAAGGGGACGCAGAGGGGCUGCUGAAACUGCCAACUGACAAGGCAUUGCUGGAAGAUCCUGCAUUUCGCCCUUAUGUUGAGUUGUAUGCGAAGUAAAUAAGCUUUUCGCGUGGUCUGGUGACUCCAUUGAUAAAUCUAUAAAAUCGAAUUGCAGUUACAGGUUUUCUUUUUGUAAAUUUGUUUUUGAUGAAACUACCCCGCCACACCACUAUUUCGUUUCCUUAUGCACCCGGUCUAUAACCCUUUGAUGCUACUGUCCUUGGUUUUGCCGAGAAUGAAAAGAGAUGGAAAGUGUUUUUCAUGGAAUUUAUGCUGUGUAGGCUUGUGAUGCUUAAAAGUAAGCAUUCACUCUGUUCCAUCACUAUCUUCUAUGUAGAGACCAGGAAAUAUUCAUAAUGAGAUCGCACAUCAAAUGUUGGGUAGAUACAUACAUGUGUUGGGAUGGAUAUAUUAUGUGGUUCCCUGAAACCUCUAGGCUAGAGCAUCAUUUUUGUGCUACUGGGAACACCUGAUUUGAUAUUUGAAUUGGUUGUUGUUCCCGCAACUCUCUCAUGGUGGUUGGCACGACCUUGAAAAGAGACAAAUGGACAAUUUGAUACUGUGCUUUUUUUCCUCGUUUUCUUUUGCUAUAUGCUCUUCUUUCCCUAAUGUUGUCAAGCAUGUGGCAGGAUGAGGAUGCAUUUUUCAGAGAUUAUGCAAUCUCGCAUAAGAAGCUCUCUGAACUGGGGUUCACGCCAAGUUCUUCAGGCAGCAAGACAGUAGCGAAUGGUGCCGUAUUGGCACAAGGUGCUGUUGGAGUGGCAGUGGCUGUGGCUGUGGUGAAUCUUGAGCUACUUCUAUGAAGUGCGCAAGAAAAUGAAGUGAAUGCUGUUCUCUGAUUUCCCUUUGUACCUAGCAUAUAUUUUAGCGCUUAGUGCUGCCCGCACCAUAUAUGUUCAUCGACAAUAAUAGUCAAAGCAUUGCCGGUGCUUGGAUGGAACAAGCCAGCAAACUCUUUGAAAGUCACAAGAAAAAUCUAUGCCCAUUUUCAACACAUCCUUUGUUGCGUGAUACUACCUUUUCCGGUUGGUUAGUAGUUAAACACGCUGCUUUGAGUGAGUUGCAUUAUGCGUAUGACGCCUGGUAAUAUGCAUUUAUGCGAUGCUUGCCCAACUUCCAAUCCUUCGAGCAAAUUUCUCCAACCUAAGAAAAAUGUUUAGGUAGAUCAAGAUUUCUUCCCAUGUGCAAGAGAUGAUUAUUAAGAAUCUGGGACUUGUGAUGCACCUUUUCCGUCAUUGAAUGGCGAACAUUUUCACCACUUGGAAUCUUUCAUUGGUGGAUUUGUUCUUCAACGCACGUUAGUGUUUUAACUUUGGUUGAAGAACCACUCUAGCCCUUUCUCCAUCUUUUUCGAAUUCUCCUCUCAGCUUGUGGAUGGCUGUAUUGUUUCGUCUGCUUCAACGGGGAAUCAAGUCAGAGACGUGGUUUCGACCUCUCGUGAAGAAGUAUGGGACGCGCGCACCUCUUAAUUGACGCGAUGGCUCUGGUAAUUUGGACAUCGCUUCUGAUUUGAAAACAAAUAAUUCUGUGAGUGAAUUAAGGAGAUUAACAUGAAAAAGAAUAACGAACUUCCAAAUUAAAAUGAAAAGCAUACACGCUGGGGUCCUAACUUUGGUUGAAGAUCCAGUCUCGCCAUUUCUUCAUCUUUCUCUCCUCUCAGCUUGUAGAUGGCUGCAUUGUUUCGUCUGCUUAACGGGAAAUCAAGUCAGAGGCGAGGUUUCCACCUCUCGUGAUGUCGUAUGGGACACGUGCGCCUCUCAUUGACACAAUGGCUCUGGUAAUUUGGACAUUGCUUCUGAUUUGAAAACUAAUUAUUCUGCAAGUGAACUGUGGAGAUUAACAUGAAAAAGGGAUAAUGAAUUGUCAAACCAAAAUGAAAAGUAAGCACUAUCUGCUUCAACACAUCUGGGAAAAAGAAGGAGCGCCCUAGUUUGGCUUUAGUCAAAGGUAAUUGUUGAAUGGGAAUAAGAGGGGCUGCUGAAACUGCCUACUGACUGAGGCAUUGUCGGAAGAUCCUGCAUUUCGCUCUUAUGUAGAGUUGUAUGCCAAGGUAAUAUAAGGCUUUUCGCGCGGUCUGGAAAUGAAAUGAAAGCGUGCACGCAUACACAUGGAGGCAUGCGCCUGCUUAUGUACAUACGCAUGUAUACUCAAUUACCAGAAUAGCACCAUACAACAAACCAGAAACUCCUCUUUUUUUUCCGUGUAACUACAGAAACAAGAAACAGUAACAAGAGAUACAUAUCUAUGCAUCUAUUGACUAUAAUUUCAAGAUGUCAAAAUCAGCUCCUUUACUACAAAAUGACAGCAUGAAGCAAAUUCAAGUGCAAUGAAAUAUAAACCAGAUCCUCACUUCUAAACGUUUCAGAUUAACAAUUGAAUGCAACCCCUUGCUUGCAGCGGCCAAUUCCAUCAGCUCCAGCUGUUCAUCCUCCAUAAGCUCCAUGGAUUCCUUGGCAAUUCUGCGAGCAGUGGCCUUCUCCACUGCAGCUUUUCGUCUCUCUGCUUCUUUUUCUCGACGAAGCUCUUCUUUUUGUCUCUUUUUCUCUGCCUUCCAAACAAAAAACCAGAGAAGUUGGUAAAGAAAAGAGAAAAGAAGAGAUGCUGCUUAACCAAUCAAAUAAAGCAAAAGAAACUAACUAGUGAAAAAGCAAUAUCAAGCUCAAAUACUUACCUUAAUAGAUUCUUUCUGUAAAUACUUCUCCCGUCGCUCUGAUUCUCGCCUUUGCUCACGUAGCAAUCUCUCCUCCUCUCUCUGCUGUUCACGCAUCAACCUUUCUUCUUCCUUCCUUCUUUCACGAUCAAAUCUUUCCAUCUCUUUCCUCAUUCGUUCCUCAGACUGCAAUAGAAAAAUACAGGAUAUCAGUCCAUGCCAAAGUUUUCUCCACAAAGCUCACAUAUCCUUAACAGUCAGCACAACUCUUCAAAAAGAUUGAAACCUUUGGAAGAUGACUACAUCAAGGAAAUAGCAGCAAAUAACAAAUUAAACGUCACACAAUCGCCAUAUGACAAGUAAUGACCAACAUACUAGAAGGGGUUCCUCUUUCUGUACAAAAUUGCAUAUGUGUGGCUUUUCUUUUGAUACGGUAACUGACUAUUACAUAAACAUCAUUACGGUAACUGACUAUUACACAUUCUGCAGCAAAAUAGCCACCUAUCUAUACUUCCAAUACACAAAAAUCUCCUUCAUCUUCCCUAGCAAAAUAUGCUAUAAUACGAAGUCUUAAACUCACACCUUCCUCCAGCCCCUACAUGCUGCUGAAUUCUUCCAUGUGCACUACCAGGAGCUUAAUUGUUUUUGAAUUUUGGAAUUGUGAGAUGACCUUCCACCUUUGUCCUUGUAAGAAUUUCUAGAAGCAAUGGUCUUCCCUCCUCUAUGAACAGCAGCAAUUGCUCGCCAUCUCUGCUUGUUCAGGCGCUUUACCAACUCAGCAUCAUUCGCAUUCUCUUCACUUUCAUCCUGCACCAGGUGGAAAAGAAACUCUCAUUACUGAAGCUAACAAGAAAGAGCAAUAAACAAUGAUAAGUGAUGACUAUGGAAAAACUUCUUUAAAAAACUUAACUCACUUUUCAUUUUUGAUAAACUACGGAUGACUCACUGAUAAACAUAUGUGAAAAAGCACCAAACACAACAAUUAGUAAACACUAUACUAGUCCAUUAUCCCCUCGAAAAAAACAGUUGACAGCAACACAAUUACUCAAGCUAAAAUCGCAUGUAUUUAUCAGCAAAAAUUUCAAGAAGCAAAUUUCCAAAUAGCUCAUUUUUGUAAGUUCAAACAAGACCAAAUUCUGAGCUGCUAAAUUCAAAAGACCUCAAGCCAGAAACUUACUUGAAUUAGCCAUUCCAUCAGACGCCAUUAAAUGGGAUUUUAAAGGAGAACAUACAGAGAUGAGUUCAUUUCGCAGAUAGCUGGCAUCUUUCAAAGCUUAUUCAUCAUCGUUGUCUAUGAAAUUUGUCACAAGUACAGAGACUAAACACUUGAGUAUAGUCAGAGGUUCUCAAACAAGGAACCCAAGCCCCAAACUAUCAAAAUGGGCUGAGCAUCAUAGAACACAACAAAGGUAGAUCGAACUUCAAGAUAUCUGCAAGCCAGAAUGUCUUCAAUGUGAUUCAUAUUACUCAACCUUCAUGCUUAUGUUGAUAAUCAAAAGUGCUGCCAUGCACUAUCCAAGACUACAUAGCUAGUGGGCGAAAGCCAGACCUAAUGCCUAAAAAAUUUCACCAUAUAUACUUACCUCAUUGAAGUGUGCCUCACAACAAGGUUUGCUGAGUUAUCCUUCACAUCUUUGUCUAUUUUCUUUGAUUUCCUCCUCAUUUCCUUCUACAAUGUGCCCUGGCUGAUCAUACAAAUAGCAGGAUUAGGCUAUAAUACUGAGUGAGUCAGCACAUUAGACUUUAAAAUAAAUUUUAAGGUGGAUCUCAGCUGACUGCCAGAAAAUUAAUACUGCAUCCUCCAGUUAACCAUCCAGGAAACAAACCAGGAAAUUCCCAUAAACGAAAAUAUAAAACAUGACUUCAUCUUAUCCGGUGAAAAGUCACUCAAGUGCUCCAAUAGUCUUAAAAGAUCUGCUCAGUUUUUGAAAAUAAAGCACAGCGAACAACAUAGCUUCCAGUAAAAAGAGGAAAUCUCAUGCCCUGAUGUUAUAGGUUUCACAAAGUUUCAGCAAUGUUGAUUUUCAGGCCUAUCACAGCGAAUGCUCUGAUACUAGUACCUUAUCCAGCAGAUGCAAAGAGUCAACAUCACUCAUGAUUGUUUCAUCCAUUCCAGCACUAUCUUCUUCAUCAUCAUAACAUAUAUCCUGGUCCUUUUCUUCUUCAACAAACUAUAUCAAAGGAAUCCAAUAAGAGAAUGUUAAUAUCGCAUCAUGGACAAUGCACACUUACAAUACUCAAUCAAUGACACGCUAGGGAUGAACUUUCGAUUAAUGUGUCAACUAGUUGCACAAAAUUCUCCAGGGCAAGAUGUAAUUGGUUCCAGAAAAUUUGUAUAUGCUGUUUUCAUUUACAUUUCAGAAUGCGGCAGCUUCAAAAACACAUUUGGAAAGACAUUGGAAAUUAUUUUACAACAAAGACGAUGGAAAGCAUGUUAUGAAUGAAAAAAGAGUUCAAAGCUGAAAAUGACAUUUUGGUGUAUCCAGUAUUUAUUCAUUCUAACAAAAGCACAGAUCUUUGGAAGGAAAAAGAAAUAUUCUAUUUUACAGCUUUGAUGGAAUACAAGUAUAUACUCCCAUUUUUCAUCCCGUUAGAGAAUUUUCAUUUUCAUUCACAUGUUUCCAAGCAAACAGAAAACAAAAAUUAAAAUACUAGCCAUAGUACUUCCACUUCCACUUCCAAUCAAGGAAAUCAAGGACCAAACAUGCAAAGCCAGGAACCACAAUGCAGGCAAUUGGCGAGAUAUUAUUUUGGCUUUCAGAUGCAAGAGCAUGAAGAUAAUCAUGAGAAAAGAAGCCGACAGAAGCCAAGAAUGACAGAGUAAAAUCCAUGGAAGGAAUAAGACGAAAUAGUUAUAGAGGAUAGAAUAUUUUUCAAAAGACUUUUACCAACUAGACACUGUCCUACAUCGGGACUUUAAAAUAGAAAAGACAACCAGAUUAGCAUAUCUCUAAUUAGUGUGUCAGGCUUACUGGUGUUGCAUUAGAUUGAUAGGCUAAGCAUUUGCAAAUCUAAACAAAAUCAAUCAACAAUCUUAGAAAGUUUCAGCAUCAGAUCAGAAACAUGGUGCAGGUAGAAUUUCCAAAAACCGGGAACUAGACAGCAUUGAAUAUGAUAGGUGGCAGAAGAUAUAUGAAGAAGAGAUCUUCACUAAACACUAAGAGAUGGGAGCUUUUCAUUCCUGUGGUCAGUAAAAUAACGAUACCGGUACAUAAUCCCUGCAAAAAAUUUGAAAGUAAUUACUAACAACCUGCUUGAAUUAAACCAAAAGCCUUCAGCCUCUGGCACAAGACCAAAAGAAAUGUUUGCACGUGUACACAUCCUUAAACUCGAAUCUGCAAAGAAUAUAAGUGGGCUACAAUAAGUCCACUAGUACACAUCCAAGCUCAAUUCUGCAGGAAGAAACAGAGCAAGAGACGGAGGACUCACGAUCAUCAGAGCAGUAAUGGACUCAUUCAUCCACCGGUUCUCUUUCAAGAGAUGACCGAUCACAAUGCAAGCAAGGAGGAGCGCCACAAACAGGUUCAAGGACACCACGGACGUAUGAUCCAAGGUGGACAGCGUCUGCAGCAAAAUAGAGUAGACAAAAUAACUAAUCAGAGAAUUUUUAGAAAUCUUUAGAAAACAGUAAAAGAGCGCGCAGAGAGAAGCGAGUGAGCGCCCAAGCAGGGGCGCAUGCUUCGUCGACGAAAGCGGGGGAACGGCCGCUCCACAAACGCAGAGCAGCAACGAGCGCGGUGAGAGGAGAGAGUAAGCACCGGAGCGGACACCUCCUUCGUCGGCUCAGGCGGGGAACGGCCACAUCACGAACGCCGGAACAAACGUAGCAACGAGCACGAAGAGAGAAGCGAGCGAGCGAGCGCCAGUGCAGGGGCGGCAGUAGUGUGGUUCGUCGGGACGGCGGGGUUACGCGCCGCUUGAUGCACGGCGGAGCAGUAACGAUCGCGGAGAGAAUUUGGGAUUCAAAAUUUUGAACCCUAGCAAAGGGGAAGAAGGCAAAGAAUCGAGUGGGCCCCCGCGUGGCUCCGCGUGAGUGGUGGGGACACCUACACGUAUACAGAAAAUUCUCCAAUCAAACACUUCCUCUGAUUUGCGCUGUCGCUUUCGCUUUGCAUGAGCCAUGAAGAUUUUCCUCUGCGACGUCUCUCGCUUCUCCAGCUUUAGAAAAAGCGAACAUUGCCGUCCUCUUUUCUCUCGCUCCUAUCGCCGCCGCCACCACCACCACCCCGAGAGCAACUCCGCCCACCCCAGCCCCCGCCCGGUGUUCCCCAAUGGCCUCCUCCUUUGCAGCCGCCCACCGCCGCCUCUGUCCCCGCGUCAAGGUGGUCACUGUCGUGGGGGCCACCGGGUGUGGCAAGUCCCGCCUCUCCAUCGACGUCGCCUCCCACUUCACUUCCGAGGUCAUCAACUCUGACAAGAUGCAACUCUACCGGGGCCUUGACAUCACCACUAACAAGAUCCCCCUGGCCGACCGCCGCGGCGUCCGCCACCACCUCCUCAGCUCCUUCGACCCGAACGAUGGCGAGAUGAGCCCGUCGCAGUUCCGCUUCCACGGCGACGCAGCCAUCUCCGGCGUCGCCUCCCGCGGGAAGCUUCCCCUCCUCGUCGGCGGUUCCAACUCCUUCAUCCACGCUCUCCUGGCGGAUCGGUUCGACCCGGAGGCAGACCCGUUCGGCCGGCUUGGCUCGCCGGCGAGCCCAAAGCUGAGGUACGACUGUUGCUUUCUGUAGGUCGACGUGUCGCGGCCCGUCCUGGCGGAGUACCAGUCGAAGCGGGUGGACAAAAUGCUCGACAUGGGCGCGUUUGAUGAACUCGCCGGAUACUACGACCUCCGCCGGACUGAUCCGGAGGGUUGGACCGGGCUGAGGAAGGCCAUAGGCGUGCCCGAGUUCGACCGUUAUUUCAAGAAGUACCCGCCGCCGGGGGGGGGUCUGCCCGGACAGCCCGUGGCGGUGGGGGGAUGCGAGGAAGCGGGACGACGAUCCAGUGCGGCAGGGUGCCUACAAGGAGGCGGUGUGGGAAAUAAAGAAGAAUGCGUGCCAGCUGGCGAAGCGGCAGAUUGAGAAGAUCCAGCGGCUGAGAGGGCGCGGGUGGGAACUCCGUAAGCUGGACGCGACGGAAGUGGUCCAGCUGGCGAUGGCGGCCGAGGAGGAGGGAGGCAGCUGCGUCAGGUGGCAGGGCGUUUGGAACAGGCAGGUCGUUGGGCAGAGUUUGAACAUCGUCAGGCGGUUCUUGCGCGAGUAGGUGUCGUUUUCUCGUCCUUGAUUAGGGAUUUGGUUGAGAAGAUGAAGAUGAAGAUGAAGAAAUGAAUCAAGAUACAGAGGAAUCAGCAAAGGAAAUACUUCGAAUCACUCUAUUUUCAUAUGAUUGUAAUACAAAGUUUCUGUAUAUCAAUGACAGCUUAUGAAUACAAAUCCUCUGUUUUACAUCCCCUGUUUUCUGUCUCUCUAUCACAGCACGUAUCAGCUAUACAAUGCAGAGCAUCCAUUGAUGAUUGCUCUCUAAGCUCUAUCUCUCUAUUUUGCUUCUAUCUUCGCUUCCUUCUUCAUCGAAGAAGAAGAAGACUACUUAUAUCAGAAUAGAACAACGAACUGAAUACAACUAACUGUUUCUUAAUUUGUUUCACCACUCUAAACCGAAUAAUAGCACGUGUGUCAGUUGAGAUCUACACGACUUGGCGAUCCACAUCUUCUUUAUUUCAGGCUUUCUUAAUCAUUGAUAACAAUCCAUGUUUGCCUUCAUCACGAGCUCUUCACCGUUGAUCAUCAGCUCAUUGUUAAUUUCCUGUUUUUGUUUUUCCCACGUGUUCUUUGCUUCACUUUGCUGCUCCGUAUAACUCUUUCUCUUCAUAGUUCUUUCUCUUCCAGCAUCAGUGUUAUCUGCUGAAUUUAUAGUGGCUGAGUGAGACUUUGUUCCUAUAUGCUUAACAAAUUGCAGCACUGAACACUAGCUAGAGUUUUGAUAACCUAGAGCCUAUCAUUUCCAGAUGUGCUUUUGGACGCUAUCUAGAUGAAACACAACAGAUUAGGCGAUUUUUCGCGAUGAUAUCGGUAGAAAAGUGUUUGCAUGUCCAUGCAUUUGCUGAUUAUCCUAUUCGAUCGCUUAACAAGUGUUUCGGACCUUGAUUGGCAUGCUUCUUCCAAGAUGAUGCUUAAAAAGUGAUCAAGAAGAUGAUCAAAGGUGGUAAUCAGCAUGGUUGGGUCGAGCCGUGAUCAUAAGAAGAAGAUGUUGCAAUCCUAGAGGUACCUUUUAUCAUCUAGGUUUACGACUCGACCCGACCAUGAUGAUUACCACCUUUUGUCAUCUUCUUCCAAAAGAAAUCAAGCACCAUGAUUACCUUUCAGCAUUUUCGUAAUGACGAUGCUUUGCCAAAAUGACCUUCUUCCAAAGAAAAAAGCGAAGUUGGAUUUUUGCUUUUGGGGUAGACUCGGAGGCAUUAUAACCAACGAAGUUGGACGUUAAUAACGGACGUGGGUCAUGAAUAGACCUUUAUUAAUAAUGGAAGAAGCUCAUUUUGGAUUACCGUGUGGUGACCUUACCCUCGUGAUGCACCACCUAAGAAUUCAACUAAUAUAUUAUUAAGCCUAAUUCUAACUCGGGCUCUUCUAAACCCAUAUCAAUUCGUAACUUAGGAUUCAUGUUCUUCAGGUACGUUUGGUUUAACUUUCUCAAGGGACUUUCAGCUUGUAAAGUUCCUUGGAGAAAUACUGGGGUGCAAAGAGCUUUCAGUCAAAUACUGGUAUUGGAAAAACUAAAAAUCCAAUGCUGAUGGGGACUAAUUUUAGGCUUUUAGUAUUUGACCAAAUGCUGAAUUUUUUUUUUUUCAAAACUACUAUCACAAACUUUUUUAGUUUUUCGAUUUUACCUCUUAUUGUUCUAAAACUACAUUUACCUUCACUAGAGUUGACAAAGAGUUUAAGAUUUUUUAAUAAAAAAGAAAAAUGAAAUCGAAAAGUCCUUUAUAAAAAAGACCUACCAAAUACUCUUUAUGCCAAAAUAACUUUGCAAAUGAUUUUUUACCAAACGCAAUUUGCAUUUUCCCAAAGUCCUUUAAGCCAAAGAUAUUUAUGUUUCUCCAAGAACCAUUUCCAAAGUUGAACCAAAUGCAACCUUAAUAGACAAAUCAUUUUCAAUAUGGAGUCGUCAUCAAUCAGUUAUGGUAGAUUGAUUGUAAAAUAACAUGAAAAAUAUUUUACUUCUACGAACUAAAUAUUUUAGGUACAUGAAUUUGAUUAUACUAAAUUUCUCCUAUACCUUUUCAAUUCAUUCUUUUUAUGAUUAAAAUAUUUGACAAAUAGUUUAAAUUCAUUUUAUUACUUCUUAACAUAUAAGAUGAUCAUACACAUGUGUAAAUCAUCAAUUUAUUACUAAAUAAAGUAAUAAAUAAAUUGCAUGUCUUACUUCGUAAAUCAUUGACGAUUGCCUAAAGCUCGGGCCUUUUUUGACUGGUAACUUGGUAAGGCGUCGCCGCAUUCCUCGAGAUCGUGGGAGAAGGAGAUUCGAGGGCUGCGAAGACCAGAGCUGGAUAUCUCCGAGAGUCCGAGCAAACGUGGAUCGCCAUCACCGGACCACUAUCCUGUGGCGCGGAGCAACGGAUCGAAAAUUUUCCUUUUCUCUACUACUUUCCCCAGAUAAGUGUUGCCUAAAGUUUUGAGGUCGGUCAGCUGGGGCCCACGGUCUCUCUUUCCCAGAUUUUCUUUUUUUCAUCUCCUCUCGAGAUAAAAUGUAAACGCCUUUCGACGUGACGUUUUUCCCUUUUCCCCUUUUAAUUUUUCCUCCUUUUUUGACCGCAAUUAAUUUAUUCGUAAUCAAACUCCCCGCUUUUUUUAAAUAUCCACUUUUAACUCGGAUUACAAUAAUAACAAUAAUGAGAGCAAGUCCGUUGAGGCUCGAACAGUUUUUUAGUACAAAAGAAAAGAGAGAAGAAAAACCAAUAUAUAUGUAUGUAUGUAUUACAUAUUAAAAGAAGAGUAAUGCUAGGCUUUAGAGUUGAUUUAUAAAAUAGAUUUACCAAGUGAUGUGUACAACACAUUGUGUGUGUGUGGUUUUUUUAACAAGCGGGUUCUAAUCAUGAAUUAAGAACAGCUUGACGUAUGGCAAUUUUGUAAGCCAGGCAGAUGAGUCAAACGAUUUUCAUGUAAGAAGGAUCUAACCACGACUCUUCUUGAUUUUUUCAUAUAAGAACACCAGGGAUUCCUUCUCCACUUUUUAAGAGUUUGUUUGAACAAAGAUGUGUCUCAAAAUGUCAACUAACUGCUUUUAUGGAUAGGUGUCUUAAUUUCGAUACUAUUUUUGUCAAGAAAACAUCUACCAUUUUUCUUUUCGGGCUUUUACAGAUGGAUUUUUUAAGUUAUGUGCAUCUAUUGCAAAGGGAAAGAGGUAAUCACACGAGUUCAAACUCAAACUUCAACUUGUUGUUCAAUUAGAAAUAACUUCACCAUCAAUUUAUUUUGUUCUCAUUACUAUGGAUGUUAUCACUUCCAUUGGGGUCUAUUUGCAUCACAUAUUUUUUUUUGUACUUCAAAUCUUCGUUCGCCACUUUCAUUGAUUUGGCCUCCUUCAUCCAUGGUUAUGUCCAUGGUUAUGUCUUUUGAAUGCGCCACUAAACGCAAGGUGGAAGAGGUGGAGAAGUGAUCGAAAAGGUAUUAAAGCGAGAAUCACGGUUGUGCUACCUUUUUGAAAAAAUGCAAGUCGCCGUACUCUCCAGCAGGCCAUCUUCCGCGGAUUGGGAGAAAAUAUUCAGUGGUUGCCAAUCACCACGUCACCGUCCUACGUGGCGCGCGCAAGUCUAGAUGGCUCCACUAACAGGUCGACGCGUGUCCUUGGAUUUAGACCAGCUGGAAAAUAGAGAAGUCAAAAGUCGGAGGAUUUAUUUAUCUCUCUCCUCUGCUGCGGCUGAAAAGAGACUCAGCAGAAGCAUUAAUUAAUGCUGUUGCCGCUAAAAAACCUCUCUCCUUUUCAAAUCUCCUUUUCAAUUUUCGAGCGCCUUUUGCCUUCUCCUUCCUCGAGUCGAGCAGAAAAAACGCAGAUACCUUCUCUCUCUUUGUCCGGCACGCCCGACUGUCUCCACCUCCACCUCCGCCUCCCCCGCCGAUCCCCCUUCCCCAAAGCCCCCGUCGGUCGCAGGUGCUGCUCAGAUCUGCCUCUGGCACGUCGCCUCCCUGAAGACCCCCGCUGGGUUGCAGCUGCUGGGUCUCGAGCGCCCUUUGCCUCCGCCGUCACCUCCGGAGUCUCAUCGGCGGCUACGAUUUGUCAGCUCACUCCUCUCUCCCACCCGCGCUCGCGCUGAUCUCUGGGGAACCUGGUGGCGUCUAUCCCGCCGCUCUUCUAUCCACCCCCCCCCCCCCCUCUCUCUGCAGCAUCUUGCCAUUUCCAGCAGUCGGAACAUCAACAAGAGCGUCUUCGAGCUGCCCGCAUAUGACCCAGCAUCGGAAAUGAUGAGGAAGGAGGAAACGCGCAACAAGCUCGCUACCUCCGGUCUUGAUCGUGUGUACGGCUGUUCUCUGGUUCUUUUCCAAUCCAGGUACAAGAAAACUAGGAAACUUCACACACCCAUUGAAGCUGAGCAACAGAGCAAGCCAUUACACGAGGCUCUGACCUUGGCUCUAUCUUUCAAGAAAUCCAGGGAAAAUUCGGAAACACCCCUCGACCUAUCGACGCAGAUGAAGAUGGGCACCUCUUCGAUGCACAUGUAAAUCGGGCUACAUGUCCAUGGCCUCCACUUCCUCCAUCUCUGUCGCCUAUCGGAUUCAUUGUUUGGCGGCAUCUGCAGUUAACGCUCUGCGGGUCGAAGCCGUGGGCCGGAGCUUGGUUUCUUUAGCGUGCUGUGCUCCCGCUAUUGCGCGCGCACGGCGCUUUGCGUGCGCGGACGGGGCCUCUGUCGUGGAAUAAACGGAGAUUUUUCAGGUAUGGAGGCUUGGUGAUACUGGCUGCUUCGGCUUCUAAUUCCAGCCGGAGUCAGGAGAGCUUAUCGGGAGGCCGAGGGGAAGAGUUCUUUGCUGGCCGUUGUUGCUCCUGUGAAGCAGGUCGCGUCCUUUGCCGUUCCUGCCGGAGUAUUUGUGGUCGUGACUUUUGGUAUGAAAGUUUUAACGUUAUUGUUGAUUUGCUGUGAGGAAGAGAGUAGGGGUGAUUUUAGACUAUGAUGAGAAGCUUUUCCUAAUUGGAACCGAUUAGAACGUGGUUGUUUAUGGUUUGGCGUUGCACCUUCUAUUGUCAAGAGGUUGUGUAAGGAUUAUUUUUUCUGGCAGAGAGUUCGGGUUACAAUAAUGUAAUUUGAGUAAGCCACCAGUAUAUCUUUCAGAUGUCUUGAUGAGAGUUGUCGACUUUGGUGUGUUUUAAUGUUAAACCAUGCCUGAUGGAUCAAUUUUUAGUGUUUCCAUUAUUCGAUUAUCACUUAUUUUUGCAAAUAACAACACAGUUGUUCACAUCGGCGCUCUAGUACGUGUUUCUUUGCCUCUUAUGAUUUGAAAUUUCUUGUUUUUGAAGCAGCUCUUUAGUGACAUGUUCCUGUUGAUAGAGUCCAUGCGAUGUAUUGGUGAAUAAUACUGCUAUCCAGAAGCUCCUACUGAAUAGUACUGAUUUGGGGAUGAGGUAUUUUUUGUCUUGACUGCAACAUGUUUACCAAGCACUGAAUUGUGGAUGAAGUUUAAGCCUUCCAAAUAGUGACAGGUUGGAGAUGUCAUCAUACUUUUUUUGUGGAGGGAGCUAAGAUUAUUGCAGAGUUGUUGAAAGAAAAACUCAACCUUGCGAAUUCUUGAACUCAACAAAAAUAUGAUUGAUUAUUCUAUACGCAUUUACUUUAUCAUCUAAGAUUUUUAGCCAGUUGUUAUUUGUUAGGAACCAAAAGUUUGCUAGACUAUUCUGUUUAUCGACUGUUCAUUUAUUCGCUAGUGUUAGGGAUUUACAAGUCUUGCAGGAGCAUUGCUCGAGAAUAAUACCAUACAAAAUUUACAUCUAAAGUAAGUUAACUUUCCAAUGAUGGUCCCCAAAAAAUUGUACCUAUCCAUUUUGAAAUUUCUUGUUGUCUCAUUUGCAUUAGUUUAAGUUUAUCAACAAAUCUUAGUCUCUACUACAAAGAUGCACCUGAGUUUGGUUCGCAUGUGUGAACUUGCAUUUCCAUGGUUGGCAUAUCUUUGAUAUGCUUCUAGUGGCGUGCUUUAGUUUUGCUUCAUUGAAGAUUUUGAUGGGUGAUGUAUUUUCAGCCACAACUAUGGUGGCGCACUAGGGGCCAAUGCUUUGGCUAAAGGGUUGGAGGGAAACAAGUCAUUGAGGGUAAACUACUCAUUUUUUCCAUUUUUCUUUCUUAAGGAUAAAUAGCUCGAAUUUCGGUCGGGAAUUUUGUCAUUAGAAUGUAGUGCAUGCUCCUGUCAACAAGUUCUAUAUUUUUCUAUUAUACGGUGUUGUUCAACUUGCUAUUCUUCUCGUUAGUCAUACGACUAACUUAUCUAUAUAUAUUGUGCUGACCAUGUGGGCUCCAUAGAACAGAUAAAGAUGGACAACAUUUCAACUCUGAAGGAGCAAAAUUUUUUCGUCUCUGGACAACAACCAGCAGAGUUGUUGAAGAAAAACUCAACCUCGCAGGUUCAAGAGUGGUUUCAGAGAAGGUAAUGAGUUUUGCUCUUAUUUGAUUGUCCUUGGAGUUAAUGUUAUUUUUUGCGCUUGGUGAUGGAAUUCUUUUGGUGUAUUUGCUAAUUUAUGGAGCUGACAGUAAUGCAGGUAUUGAAGUUGCGCCAAGGAAGCACGCAGCACCAGCUGCGUGCCCAUUUAAUAUGUGGGCGCAAGAAACUUUUGGGGCAUAAUCAUGUUAUUUUGAAGGAUUUAGUUAUUGAUAUGUGGACACGGGAAACUUUCGGCAUAUACGGUUGCGCUUUUAAUAUGCUUUGUUUUUGUUUCAUCUAUUGUGGCAUUGUUUGCCAUUUUGCAUGAUUAACCACUACUCUUACCAAGUAUGAGUAGUGAUCAAUCAUUGGCCACAGUACUCAUUCUGGAAAAUGUAAGCACUGUUUCUGUCCUGGAGUUGAGAGCAAGUCUCAGAUAUGAAUGCAAAUCUCAGCUAAAUAAAAAUGCAAUAACAACUUGCAUGCUACCUCGUGAUCAUCAUAUCAACUGAUGUUUCUUUGACUUCAUUAAAGGCCAUGGCAGACAUGGAGCGGGCAAUUAUAAAAGCACUGGAGAAGCAAUAUAAUGACAUCUUGACUCCGUUAAAGACAGCAUCCCAAAGAGGUUGAAUAUGCAAGUUUAGAAGCUGACAAGACAGCAGUCAACAGCAGUAUAUUGUGUUCCCAGCCAGGCAAGUACUUUUAAAAGCAUACAAGAUAUACGUAGUAGUCACUGUUAAAUCAAGUUUUUCUGAUGGAAGGGAUUACUUUCACUACUAGGCUGGGAGAUUGGAAUGUUGUUCUUUUUUCAGCUUGGGAUAUUCCUGAACACCUUAAAGAGAAUACUAGAUGUUCUACACUGUAGAGGGGACAUGUUGAAGUGUUGGGCAUCCUAUUUACCCAUGACUGAAGAUAAGAAGUCACUGUUUGGAGAACAAAUGAAUGGAAUCACAGUUCUACAGAGAACAAAAUACAAGAACUACUUGCAAGCAAUAGUUGGAAAGCUUGUCAGCAAUGUAAGUGGCUCUUACUUUCCCUGAAGAUGGAAGUAGUUGAGGAGAUACACGUCAAGUCAUCCAAAGAACUCUCGUAUCUAUCAACUUUGACUUGGCCUAGAUAACAUCCAGAGGAAAGAACUUUAAACUGUUAAACGUGAUGAAGCUAUUUUUUGGUUCCACUAAGUUUGCUGUUCCAAGCUUUUCUACUUACAUAUUUAAUUACAAGUAAAAUCCUGAAGGACAAAAAUUUUAGAAGGGCUACAAUUGAUUUGAGAAUCUUUAAGCUCCAAUUAGAUACUAAACUAAGGCUUUUGUAUAGAUACAAGAAAACCGUAGUAUACGGUUGAAAAGGAUGCUGGAAGAAACAAAGGAAGAAGAUGGAGAGGUUGAGAUCUGUGAAAGAGUGCAGAUGCUGAGUUUACAACUGGCUGGAAAAUUUUCACUGAGUACAAAACAUAGACUUUUUCUUAAUUUCUGUGUAAUUGCUCAAACAAAUGUCUAGUACAUAUCACAUGUCUAUGAUGUACUCUGUCUGUGUUCUAAAGAAAGGGCUAUUCGACAUUAUUACGAUGUUCUUACUUUCCUUUCUACACUACAGAUAUUGGACAAUACAUUUGCUUCACAGAUGCAGCGAUUACUAGGAAAUGCCCUUAAAGAAAAAGAUCUUGAGGCCCCUCGCUCUGUGACUGAAGCUUGAUCAAUACUCUGCAGAGACACGGCAAAUGCUGCAGAUUCAUUUAGCUACUUCUAUGCGUAGAUAUUAUACCUCCCCUGGGUGUCAAUUUUUUUGUGAAUCUGUCAUUUCAUUUGUUCAUUUUAGCAGUGUACAGGACCACACUUUAGAGCCCAAGCUUUUAGAAGGUUCUUCCGUAUGAGAUUAAAAGCUCGUAUCAUAUGUAUUGUAUCGUCCAAAUACCACAAAUUUUUUAUGUCGAUAAGAGUUCGUUUUCUGGUUGUAGUGUGAUAACUUUUUUGCAUAAUGAGCAGUACUAGCGACCAUCAAAAGCCAUUGUUAAAACUGCCAGGCUUUCAGCAGGACAAAAGGGAAAACAGACAUAUAGCUUAUCUGGUUUGUGCAUCAUUUCUUAUAGAUUUAUAUUAAUCCAAGGUAUCGGGACUCUGAGACUGCAGAGUGCAGAUUUUAUCUCUCCAGGCACAGAAAAAAACCUGGCGAAAUUGAGUUUUACUAUGAUGACCAAUCAAAGGAAGGAACGGGUUGAAGGUGGAGACUAGUAAUGAGAUUUAACCAGAUGAAUUGAGAGCUUAAAGGACCAAAUGAAUAGACUUAUAAUUAAAUAAACCAACAUCUUGUUGGAGUUGAACAAUGCUUGGUCUUCUCACCCACAUUAUCAUGCCAAUUCCAAGCAGUGUAUUUUGUAUGACACAGAUACUCUAUAGUUGAGGGCCAAAAAGAACUUGAACACAGCCUUUUGAUUUUUGAAUAACAAAUUUUCAAGUUAUCUUCCAACAAUACAAAAGAGAGAGAAUUAAGAACCACCAUAUUCUUUUUAACAAGAAUUAAAAAUUCGAGAUUGUUAUGAUUUACAAAACUAACUGAAAAUUAACUAAUGUCGAUUCUAUUUCUGCAGAGAGCAAGUAAAAUAUGAAAAUCUAUUUGGUGCUCAUUGGGUUAGAAGUAAAAUAUAUUUGGUACUUUCCUAAGUAUAUGAAAAUCCAGGUAAACCUUAGAGACCUCUCCAAGCUCCAUGUCUCUGCAGAGAGCAAGUACGUCCUACAAGUAAAUGAAAAUCUAGAUAUGCAGUAUGACGCCUGAAAGUUAUCAAGUAGCCAUAUAUUGUUGCCAAGAACAAGAAUUCGUCAUUCAUGGAGAGAAACUCCCUUGAGCUAAAAGCAAGAACAAUGGUCGAGCAAAAAUCUAGAACUAGAGCUAUAAACCACGAGAUGUAAUGGCGUAAAAGGCAGCCAUCAUAUCUCAUGGUCUUUUGGAAUUGUUCAGUAGUUGCAAUGAUUGUAACAUUCCACCAUAUCGAACGCCGAAAAGGCUGUAAUUUCCUUAUUUGAUGUGGACACCACCUCACUCUCUGAAAAACGGUGCGAUCGUUUGGGCAUAGCUCAGGCUUUUAUAUUCUCUCUCUGUGGAUCAGCUGAGACUUCACCACUAGUUGGCCUGCAAGACACCAUCAACUUGUCAUUGUGCAGAGAAUAGUUAAAUGUUGAAGUUUAUGAGAAUUAAAUCAGAAAGAACUAUUCCAUAAUUGUUGACAGAUUGGAACAGAACCUUCAUUUUAUGCGGUUUAGUGAUCCAGGCGGGUGAAACCAACCACCUAUAGACCAGCUCUCCCACCUAACAAAAUUGGAGAUUAAGUUUUUAACAUCACUUAGAAAGAGAAUGGUCUGCUCUCCCAUAGAACAGCUUCCGUUCAUCUAAGCAUAUUUUAGAUGCAAUAUUCAAUAAGAGAUAGCUGACUAACUCUAUAGCCUAAGAAGGAAUGAAAAGAUUACAUGGAAGAUUUUGACACCAAAGCGGUAGAAGUCCUCUGUAAAAUCUGAAAGCAAGAAAAGCAAUAGAAUGUCCCUCCUACCUCUAACACAAGCAAACAUACUAAGGCCACAAAAAAUUACCCUAGAAGGCCCUUUUGAUGCAUACACUUUAGGGAAGCCAUCAACCAAACCUUAUGCAAAGUGGGGACUGUACUUGAACCCGAAUUUUAAUGGCUUCAAAAGGGCAAAGUGCCACAUUUGCAAAUGCUUCCACAGAAGAACUGCUGAGAAAAAAAAAUCAAGCUCCUGUUGCUGCCGACCAAGGCAUCAGAGUAAACCCGUUUGAAGUACUCGUAGAGACCAUUUGCACCCACCUUGAGCACCAUAUCCAAAGAACUUGGUAGCCCAACCUCUCCAUAAGGCAGAAGGGCCUUUCUCUCUCAAUAGAGUAGUGAAACAUGAAUAAAUGCUGUUAUACUUGAUUGGAUUCACCUACAAGAUAACAAGGAUUCACAUAUAAAAAACUUCCAAGUGAAACAAUUCUUUGCAGAAAUAUUAACUACAUGCCAAAGAAGGACAAUCGUGAAUAAAGCCACACUGCAGAAGCAUCCAAUUCUCGUCGAAAAUUGGACUUUUCACAUUUAGUCAGAUUUGGCCAUAUUAGCAGUUUCGCAUCAAACGACCACCAGAAAAAAUAUGUAAACAAGUCAUAUAAGGAAUCUUGUAAACUCAUCCAGUUAUAGUUCAAUCACUGCGGGUACACGUAUCAAGAGUCCACAAAAACACCACAUCUUUUAUUCAAUCUAUCAAGUCUAUGUCAUCAAUAAAACUAGUACCGAAGCAUAAAAUGAUUUGGGGUGUUACCUCUGAUACACUGAUGAGGAAACCAAUCAAGUGACUUAAUUUAUUCACUGAGCUCAACUAAAGAACAGAACAUGUUCCUCCAAUGCAUGAAUUUACACCAUGGCAUUGAACAAGAAGAAUGCCAACAAAAGCAGAACAUCCAUUUCGCUAUGACACAACAAAUAUAAAUAAAGCUGGAGCUAAAAAAACAAAAAAAGGAGAGAGAGAGAGAGGGAGAGAGAGAGAGAGAAGGGACCUGUGUUGGAGCCAGUAGGAUUGCCAUUUUGAACUGCGAGUAGAAAGCAGAAAUCAGGGUAAAAAAAGAACCAGGCAGCUUAUGCAGACCACGUAAUAGAAGAAACUGAAACUUGUUGGACAUAAUCACAUACAUCACCACAGCCAUUGUCAUACAAUCUUAUCCACCAGCUAAGGCAACCACCUGAUUCGAACAAGAACAAAGUGGAAAAGGUCUUUUACAUUGAAAGCCUAACUGUGAGCAGACAACAGGCUCGACCAGCUUAUUGUGCAACCUCAGUAUUACAAGCAAAGAGCCAAAUUUUUUUUGAUUAAGUAGGACAAAUAUAUUGACGAGAUCGAGUCUACAUGACUUCACCCUCCUUCAAUAUUCUCGUUGCCGAAAGACCAAAUUGACAAAACAAUUCGAAAUUUCCUCUUCUCACAACAGAAUCUAUCUUUAGCACAGACCAAAUGAAAGAUCUAACCAUCUUUUCAAUGCGAGUGCACUCCGAAGAUACGUUAAAAACUUCAUAAUCUUUGGAUAAUAAAUAAAUUGGAAUGCAAGAGUUUCUUAAGCAUUGUCAUUUUGCGCCACGGCUCUCUAAACAUCACCCAUAGAACACAAACCCAAUCCCUAAGAAGCUACUCCUCCAUCCAUUCUUGAGCAUUGAAUAAGCAAUCUCGACCCAAUUCACAAUUCACUCGUCUUAAUUUUUGCAGGCAGGUGAGCAAUUGGCUCAGCCUUGGCAGCCAUUUCCACGUAGCGAAGGCGCAGAAACGCAAAUCGGAGAUUGGAAUCGAAUGCAGAAGGAACCUGGUCGCUCAUCUUAAUGUUGCUUUCACAUUAAUCAUCAACUCAUCAGAGCGCAACUUCCAACCACAUUUCCAAAAACAAAGCAUGAGGAAGAGAAUAAAAAAAAAAAAAAAAAAAACAGAUAGCGAAAAAGUAAAAUGCAGCUAGAUUUAUGAGGUAAUCACACUAAAAUAGAAAUCCACAACUUCUCAGCGUCAUUCCAGAAGAAUCGAACAAAAACUCAGAUCGAACACAUGGAGACGAACCUUCCCCUUUGUCCGCGGCUGCAACACGUACACGGUCGACAUCUUCUUCUAUCCAAAUUCUAUAGGGACUCUGGGUGCAGUGAACUCGACGAAGACGGAUCUCUCGACCUCACCGACUGCGAUGUUCGAGGUCUUCUGUAGCUCGGUCUGAGGAAGAAGAACACCCAAACAACGCCGUCAGCCGCCGGUACCCGAAAUGUUCCCAGAUGAUGAGAUCGUGGACGGGGUGAGGUGUGAUGACGAGCUCGUCGGAGGGACGCAAUCGGACAGAGGCCCAGAACNNNNNNNNNNNNNNNNNNNNNNNNNNNNNNNNNNNNNNNNNNNNNNNNNNNNNNNNNNNNNNNNNNNNNNNNNNNNNNNNNNNNNNNNNNNNNNNNNNNNNNNNNNNNNNNNNNNNNNNNNNNNNNNNNNNNNNNNNNNNNNNNNNNNNNNNNNNNNNNNNNNNNNNNNNNNNNNNNNNNNNNNNNNNNNNNNNNNNUGGGGGAGGGGGAGGGGGAGGGGGAGGGGGAGGGGGAGGCGGAGGCGGAGGCAGAGACGGAGGCGGAGGCGGAAGCGAAUGGGCGUGCUGGAGAAAAUAGAGAGAAGGCGUCAUCGUUUCUCUUCUCGACGAAGGAUAAGGCCAAGAAAGGCUUGAAAAUUGAAAAGAGGAGAGAGAGUUUUAAGCGGCAACUUAUAUUCGAGCAUUAAUUAUUGCGUCUUCUCAGACCUUUUCAGUCGGCUGACAGAAGAGAGAGGAAAAAAUAAGCCGCACCUAGCGACUUUUUUUAUUUUUCAAGUCACUCCAAGUCACCGGAUACGUGUCCACAUUUUAGUGGAGCCACCUAGAUUUACGCGCACCACGUAGGACGAUGACGUGGCAGUUGCGAACCACUGAAUAUUUUCUCGCGGAUUGAGAUUGGACACUUAUAAGUUGUCACAUCUAGUGACUGCGUUCCAUCUUAAUGGGGGAUGAUUAACCCUUUUUGAUUAAGCCCUAAUUAAUUAGGAGAUCAAGCGCUCUUUUCUUCUUCCUUUAUGGGAGGAAACGACAUGAGUGGAAGCAAUGGUUGUCCCCCCUGUCCUUUGUGCGUUCCAUGCAUUUGAGGCUCACAGAGGUGGAGGUGGUCUUAUCUGGAAGAGAUUUUAUGCUUUUUGCCUAAAUUUGACAAGAUUUUACAUGGUUAUCAUACACGACCCAGCUACGUCGAUAUCGAUGAGGUGAUUGAGGUUUGAAAAAUCAACAAGUAUUUAAAUUACUGGCGAUAGAUGGAACAUGCAGUAAUAGGAAUAGUACAUGUAACUUGCUCUUGCUACUUCUCUUGUCGCACUAGCGGGAUGAUGCUUCUACGGAGGUGGUGUAAAAAGAAUGUCAAAGCUUCAAAAGUAUUCACGGUUAGUCCGACGAAAGACGCAAAGACAAGUAACAUGAGAAUAAUAAAGUGGGAGGAGAGCCCACCUCAAAGAUUACCUGCUUGUAGAGCAUUGAAAAUGGUGUCUUGGAGACGAGAACGUUCUCGUCCGAUCCCACUUUCCAUCGUACCGAUUAGGAAAAAGGGCUGGACCCACAUCGACAAUAUCAGUAAAAGAGCUCGAGACCUACCAUUGAGAUCCUCGAUUUGUGCUACAGCUAUCGUUUACUCUUGAAGUGAGUCUGUUGUUGCCUCAUUUCCUAAUCCGAGUAAGAGUAAAAUCGGUGGGGCGGGGGGGAUCCUUGUGCCCGCCAUUCGAGUCGAAUAACGCCGCCGGAGCUACAAACGUAGCAUGCAAGCAAGUCUCUUUGACCAUUAGUAGCCAUGAAUUCACACGGUAAAUCUGGCUAAAAAGUCUCCUCUUCCUAAAUCAGCGCUCGAAAGAUGGCGCCUGAUCCUUUGCGUUCCCAAUUCCAAGAAAAACGAUAAUGAGUGGCUACCGACUAAGCUACGUGGCCUAAAUGUUGAAGGCUCGGAAGGGAUCGAGAUGGGACAGUGGGGGCGUUCAAACUUGGGGACCCACGAAACUAGGAUGCUUUUUAAUUAAACGUCACUCAGUUUCGGUCUUCGGUGUCUAGAACCCUACCCAUUCAUACCCAGUUUGUAAAUGCCUAUAGAGAAGAAAAAAAAGAAAGAAUCUGACUCCUUCAAUUUGGAAAAUGAAUCAUUUAAAGAUCAUUUUUCAAAAAAUUAAUUGAAAGAAAUGCGGGGCAAAUAAGGUUGUUUUUUGAAAUUUGUUGACAAUUUGAUAUUAUAACUUAUAAAUGGAUGCUUGAUGAUGCCUCAUUUGCCUGCAUGUAGAUUUGGUAUUUAUAAUUCACUUUGCUCAUCAAAAAAUAGUUCCAACAAGUCAAAGCAUUAUUGAAGACUCAUUGCUCAAUUUAACUUAAAAGCAUGCAUACAUACAUGAAUGUAAAUCAUCCAAAAGUCUUUAUCUCCGGAAAGACGUGAUUGGAAUUAGAUACUGCUUGAUCCAUUAAUUAAGAAAAAAGGGAGAUUUUUAAGAUGCAAAAUUGGAUAUCUACAAAAGUACAUUUUAAUUAUAAUUUUUAAAAAAUAAUUUAAAGGCACGAGCGUUGAAACUCAGCUAUAUAAAGAUUCAUUGAACAUACAACAAGCUUUAUAAAUUGGUUAAAUUUAAACUUUUGAGUUGUACAAGCGACCCUCGACCAAAAGCACUAUGUGUGGUUAUUAAAGUUUUUUGACUAAAGGGGCUCCUCAGAUAGUCCAAAACUGAUAUUUUUUGCUUUUUUUUUUUGGCUCCCUUGAAAGGACGGGAAGGAUUGUACCGUCUCAUCUGCACGCUAGUUUACGUAAAUAUUCUCUCAAAAUUUACCAUGUCAAGCAUUAACGCGUUUGCUUUAUGAAUCACCAUUCUCACCUCCUAUCCCCUCAUUAUUCCGUUGACAUUUUCGUUACACACGUAUCUCAGGCAUAGUAAACAGCAGAGAAGAAAGGAAGGAGAACCGGGAUCGUGCCUUUGACUAUGCAAAAUAAUGGGGAGAAACUCUCGUGUAGGGAACUACCGAGGAAGAAGAAGCCUUGUCAAUUUGAGGAUAAUAAAGCAAGGGAAUUUUCAAUGAAGUUGACAAUAACCAUCUCUGCGAAUACAUUUGUUUCAGUAACGAAAUAUCUUUCAUCGAGAAUAAUACUACAAUUUUUAUUUAGAAAUAAUAAAGGUUUUGUACCAAUUCCGAAGAGAGGAUAUCAAAUGCAAUAUAAGUGUCAAAUUUCCAAUUUUGAAAAGAAUUGUACAACUCUGACAAUGAACUUGUUAACAAUGAGAAUGAGUUCAAACUGUGCUAGAAUCUAACUGACGACAUAAUUUGGGGAUAAGUAGAUACAAUGCCGGAAUUUAAUCGACGAUAAUGCAUUGAGAUAUAGGACAUAACACUGGAAUCUAAUCGACAUCGUUGGACUAUGAUAGAGAAUACAAUGUUGAAAUUUAAUGGGCGAUGCAACAUCAUGGUGUAGAUACACGCUAGAAUCUAAACAAUGACGAGGAUCUAAGAGCUACAGCAAUGAAAACUAAAGUGUAGUACAAGAAACGUAAAGAUAAAGGGAUAACAUGUUGAUUGAUUCUUUCGCGGGGGGAGGCGUCAUGCUAGCGGACUGAUGGUAUUUAUGGAGAAGCUUGGUAAUUGCUGAACAGUCAUUCCUCUUCUAAUAACUGCUUCAAGCCUUAUGCACAUUGCCUUUUCCUCUGCAAUGACCUUGCCUAUUUGCUUAACAACUGUCUGGAUUGUGUUUCAAUGCUCUCUGAUUUAUCAACAAUGAUUUCAUGGCCGGGUCUUUGUAUGUCAACUGCUCCUUAACCAUGAAUACCUUUGGCGCUUUCCUAAAUAUUUCAAAUAUUUUCGCCUAAAACUUACUGCGGCAUCACUUGAAUAGUCAUCAAAAUAUCCGUCAUUGUAUUUCAAUAGCUAAACACGGGAUGGCUUCUUGCCUCGCUGUUGAUUAUUGAGUCUUUUUCCUUUGAAUUAUUGAUAAUUGAUCAUAUAAUAAUACUCUAAUGAUAUUCAUGUGAUCUUGCUUGACUUUAUUAUACAUUAUGUUAUGGUGAUCGAUACGUGAUAAUAUGGUUAACUUUGAGUGUCAACAAGAUCAGAGAAGAUCCCGACCGAGGACUAUGACAAUUUAGGCAAUUUUAACAUUGAACCUCUUGCUAAAUUCUCGAACCUUUCAAAUGAUUGCCCCUUGUAAUAUUCCGAAUGCCCUUUUGACGAAAAUCCAUGUGAGAGCGGGGUCAAUCUGAAAAACCCUUUAUCCAUGCGUCAAUUCAAGCAUGCCAUACCAGCAAUAGCAAGCUUCUCGGGCCGAAAGAAAAAAGAGAAAAACAAGUGCACUUUUUUUAUCUGCCCGAGAUAACCCUCGAGAGCAGUAAAUAUGAACCGAUGUCUAUACAAUCCUAUGUUCUUUGUUCCUCACUUUUUCCUCCUACAUUUUGAGGUUUUGCUGCAGUACCUUAGAUUAUAUAGGUCUCUCAUUCUCGAUUGAAAACUUGGUUGAUACAAGGUAUUGAAAGAGAGACGAUGUAGUUGAUAUACCAUUCCCUUCCCCGCCUUCUACAUACAAAAAAAAGAGAGUACAAUUUAGUUUAUCAAUCUAAGAGAUAAAAACAUGUUUUUUUGAAUUUUUUCCUCUUUUUAUAAGUACGUUAUAUUAGCUCAUCAAGAAUGAAUAGUACAAAUUGAACAAAUUUACUGACAGGGGAAACUACCAAUUUGGAAUAUUCACCUGAUUUUUCUCCGGGCAUCUCAAUUCACGAAAUUAGAUGGAUUCAUAAACAUCGAAGUUCCAUGUCGCAGCAAAACAAAAAUCCUAGGUCGAUCGUUUCCUUUCCCUUUUUCCCCCAUCGCGGGCCAAAAAUCGAUCAUCCGGGCGUUGGUUUUGCCUCCCUUCAUCGAUUCAUCUCAUCUUCUCCAUCAAACCCAUAAUCCAGAUUCUCUGCUCUCUGCUUGCCCGCGCCGCUCAGACCAAAAAUCCCAAAAGCUUCGAAAGCUGCAAGUUGCUGACUUCUCUCUCGAAUCUCCUUCUCCCACGAUCUCAAGGAAUGCGGCGACGCCAUCCCCGUCGAAGAAGAUGACCGCAGUCGAGGCGAGAGGCUCGACCGGUCGCUGAUGGACUCCGAGUCCGACUUCUGCGUCGGCGUGUCGAGUUUCGUCCUCCAGCUUUCCUCAGCCGACGAGCUCUUCUCCGACGGCAAGAUCCUUCCCGACGAGAUCAGGAGGGACGGAGUGGUAACUGCCGACCACAGUUAGUGUCUGCCGAAUACCUUGGUCUCAUCCUCCUCCUCCAUCUGGGACUCCGAUUUCUAGUGCUGCGUUCACGGAGAAGAGGAGUCUGAAGGAGCUCCUCUCGGACAGCUUUGACGAUGACGAUGAAGGGGAUGAGAAGCCGCUGCCCAAGCCAUCCUGGCAGUUCAAGUGCACUUAAUUGUGACGUCGCCAAGAGCAGAGGGCUGAUUCGGUUGCUACAGUUCCUCUCGCGGAGCAACUCGACCGGUUCAGUUCCAAAUCCAAAGGACAAAUUCGCCUCCAAGGACAACCCGAGGCAGAAUUUGCAGAAACAGCCCUCUAUAUCAAGUCAAAGAUGGUCGUCGGAGUCAUAUCAAUCCUCCUUCGGCAUGCCAUCAGAAGCCCCCGACGACGAACAAACGAUACAGACCCAGCGUGAGGGUCAAUCCUGAAUUGAAUUUUCAGCCCCACAUCAAACGAUCAGGACGGUGAGCUUGUUCGGGCUCGGCUCGCUUUUCUGUGAUGGCAAGGUCAGAAAGAAGAAGAAACGAGUCAUCCUGAUUAAUCUGCUUUGUUAAUUUGCAUUAGCACAGAGAGAAAAAAAAGAGAGAAGAAAUGAGCUUUUUGAAUGCUUCUGGUUUUGGUGCACAUGUCUAUAUAGAUUUUGUGAUGGUAGAUAUAGGGGACCUGAUGGAAUUAGCAUGGGAUAAGGUUCUCAAAAAGAAUUCCAGGAAAAUAUAAUGUACGGAAGGCAUGUUUAAAGAUCAGGUUUCGUUUUCUAAUAGUGGGCCCUAUAAGCCUCUGACCAGCAUUGCAUUAGCAUCAGGUAAGAUAAUCAUCUUGUUGUCGAUCCAGCCGAAAGUCGUAUGCUGUUGUCAGUAUUCUAAAUUCAUCUUGUUUUGGGGACUUUUUAUAAUUUUAAGCGACGUGAAAAAUAUAUAGAAUUUGCAUAAUAGUGGCAAAAAUAUAAUGAGCCAAAGGAAUUUGCAUAUUUGCAUCGUACUCUUGUGAGUUUUUUGUGCGAAAUGCUUUUUUUUUUUAAAGGUUCAGUGGAUGCAGAGAAAGCAAAGGAGUACUUAGCAAAAAGGAGUGAUGAGCAAACAGAUGGUGACAGUCUGGUUUUAUCCCUCGUGCUCAAAGCUACAUCCAUCAGGCUGUUCAAUAUGCUCCUAAUGACUGGUAGUAUGUAAUGCCAAAUCUGUAUGUUCGAAGUUCAUAUCGACAAAUAUUGCAAUGAUCCCGAGCAUUGUUCUUAAAACAUUCGCGCUAUGUCGUCUCAAAUGCUAUGGAUGCGUCUUUUGAUUUUUCGACUGUAGUUAUGUUCUUGCUUCAUGUCCUCACGAUCACAAUCACGAUCAUGAGGUAGAGGAAGAACAAGGUUUUAACACUAGUCAAAUUUGUGUAUCUAAUUGCUCAACUAACUACCCUUGUACUAACUGUAAUCUUACAGGUGCUUAAAGCGCCACUUUAACUCUUCUAAUUAGUUCAAAUCAUCUGUUGAAUUUUAUGACGGAAGAUUUAAGCAUAGUAGUGAUGGCCACUCUCCUGUUGCUAGACGCCAUCUUUGGCAACGGCUUUUUAUGGCCACCUUGGAAAUCCCUAACAUGCCUAACACUUUUCGUCUAAACGUUACCCUGAUGAAGAUAAUUUUGAAAAGUAUCUAAGCAUACGUGACCAUUGAUCUUUCCCAUUACAACUUUAUUACUUUUGUGCUCCACACGGAAUUGUUUAGUAAUAAUUUGUCGACGAGGCUUAAUACGUAUAUAUAAAUUGACAAGCAUUAAGGCUAAAAAGUAUAUAUAUAUUUUUAAGUAUAAUAUAAAAGUUUAGCGGCGAAUAUGAAAAUCAUGUACAUAAAUGGAUUAAUACAAUGAGUUUUCAAAAGCUAAAUGAGUAUUGAUAGUUUAUAUGUUGUCUCAAUAUAUUGUUUUGUCCUCAUUUCUUCAUUUGCUAGAUAUCAUAGUGUAGACAAAGUACUCUAUCAAAUCUCGUAUAUCAUCUCUAUCCAUCACAAUGAGAGACUUAAGAAGUGAGCUCAUUGAAUGUUAAGUACUCAAUAUGUUUAUGUUUUCUAAUUUUCAUAUUGAUAUUUAUUUUAAUAGACAAUCAUAAGAUUGAAUGUGAUUAAUUUAAAUGUAGUUGAGGUCUUAAAGCUUUAGGAUGAUUAAAAUGCAACUAACUGUAAUUGACUUAGGUUUUGUGGCUGAUUUAAUAAAUCUUAUUCCAAGUAUGUUUUGUCCCCAACACUAUCAGUUAGCUAAAGUUGGAUCUUAAUUAGAUCUGGUUAGCUCAACUAUAUAUUAAAUAAGACACAGUUGACCUAAUCUCAGGAAUGAGUAACAAAGUCUAUGUCAACAUGACCAGCUCAUACAUCUGAUGGCCAUUUAGUUGGUGAAAAGCUUAGGCAUCAUUAUACAUUAAGCUUUCCAACAAAAAUGGCGAGGCAUAUUCAUGGAGGCUACAAUCUAUCCGAGAACAAGCAUGAAUUUUGAUAAAUUGAAGGGUUGGGAAUUGGGAUGGAUAUGAACGACGACCAAAUUUGCUAGGUUUCAUUUUGAACUUACAAUUAAAUUGAUAGGAAACAACUUGCAUUGACCAAGUGGUACUAUAUUGCUUUUUAAUAAUUUCUCUGGAUUUGGUGGGUAUUUCAUAAUGCACUAUUGGAAAACGGGCUUAAUAUUAUCUGAAAUGUGAAUACCAGAAAAUGGUGCCGAGUACUGAAAAUUAGCUGAUGGUUGUGGCUUCAGGCAAAUCCGAGAACUUCUUCCAGAGUAUGUUACCUCAAGGAUGUUAUUGAUUCACUUCCCGGAAAGGUAUCCACUUAACAUCCUGCGGCAUGUGCACACAUAUACUCUUAUCCAUGAAAUAUGCUCAUUUUGUCUUUACCUAAAUUUUAGCUAUCUAUUUAGGGUUUAAUUGUAUAGAAAAUUGGGGAUUGAUUUUUAUAUCCUAAAAAAAUCAUUUAAUUUCAUGGCAUAUAAGCUUUAGGAGUGUCUGAAUUGAGUAGUGAUAGAAUUCAUUAAAAUCAUGAUUAUUUUAUUUAUUAGAAUAAAAGAGGAGACGGAGCCAGACCAGGCGGGGUCAACUCGGACCCCUAUCUCUUUCCGGUUGGGCCUGGCCCAACUCUUUUCUCUCUUUUCUUUUCCUCCGCGUAGGCCGGCCCAUGAUCCUUUUUCCAGGCCCGGCUCAGGUGUUGGUGUGUUUCUCCUUCACGCCGCUCACGCCUUCUGCAAAAGGAAGAGCGACGGAGGCAGAGCAGGAGGAAAGCAGGUGGCGGCGUGAUUCGCGGGGGUCAGGCCGACCUGUAACCUGGCAAUGGCAGACACCAUGCGCGCUUGCCGGUUUCCCUUAAAAGCGGGAGAGGGAGCGCGAGUAAAAGAGGAGGCUCACUCACUGGAGACAGAGAGAGAGAGAGCGGAGAGAGAAACCGAGAGUAAGAAACUUUUUGUCCGCUCGCUUGAAGCACCCUCGACCUUCGUGGGAAGCGAACUAGCGCGUCGCCGUUCGUCACUGCAAACUCCCGAACCAGGUUACCCCGGAAAGGUCCUGCCUCUUCCUUGCUUAUUGAGUUUGAGAACGUCAAACCGAACCGACGAGAUUUUGGGCAAACCGUACAAAACCCAAACUGAUUUGUUGCCACUAAUGUUGAUUCAGAGCUCAAUAUACUGGGUUUAAGCCACGAACGACGUUAAAUCUGAAUCUGAAAGUGGUAUGUCGAAUUGCACAUCAACUUUUUGACAAAAUGCUUGAAUGAAGCCCCGAAUUGGAGUUCAUAAAAUUGAUGCUUAAAAUCUUUGUGUUGCGCUCAGUUUGUUCUAAUAUUAUUGCAUUACUAAAUCUGGGUUUCUCUUUGAUUUUGUGACAUAUCAUUUGAUGCACGGGUCGGUCGUGAAUAACGUCUUCACGCCGGAAAAUCCACAGCCCUCGCCGGAGAAGUCCGCGGUUAGAGGCCGCCAUAGUCGGUCUUACUUUUAUCUCGGUGUGCAUAUACAUGUUUGGUUUGUUGGGAGGGCUUUCGUUUUGCAAUCGGCAACGUUAGGUGUUAACAUCGAGUCGAUUAGAGUUCUGGCGUGAGUUAGUUCAAUGAAGUUUCAGUAUUGAGUUCGUCGAAGAAAAAGCCUUGGCGAAGAAGAUCUCGUCGUGCGAGACCGCCAAAGAAGAAGACGACGCACAGCGAAAAAAAGAGAUUAAAAAAAUCAGAAGAGAACCGAAAAUUCGGAUCAAGUGGCCACGUCAGGGAGUUGUGGGUAAAGAAUAGAAUGGGCCUUUUUUGAGUGAACGGGCUAGAUGAUUUUUUUUUUUAUAGAAGAUGGGCUUGAGAUAGUUUUUCUUGUGAGGGAUAUGGGCUUGUUACAGUUCUAGUCGAUCUGGGCUUUAUUUAGUUUGAAUACACUGGGGCUUGAAUUAUUGUAGAGGCUAACCCAUCAAAUUCAAGUCGGGCCAUACUAGGACUGGGCCCUAGGGCCGGUCCGAUUUCGGACCCAACCUGGACCGGUAAGGUCCGAGUCAGACAACAAUCGGACCGGUAUCUCUGACCCGAGCCGAGUCACAUAUUCCAGAAUUAAAAAUUCAAAAAUUAAUAAAAAAUAUAAAUCAUUAAAAUAAUUAAAAUUCAAAAAUGUAAAAAAAGUAAAUACAAAAAAUUAUAAAUUGCUUAAAAUAGGUAUUCAUGAAAUUUUUAAGUUUUAGCAUUAGAUUUAGUUUAGUUUCAUUUAAUUAAUAUACAUGUAGCAUAGUCCUAGUGGAGUAUCAUUUUGAAAGAAAUUAAACUUGAUUUGAAUAUAGGUCAUGGGGAUUAUGUCCUAGGGCUUAUAACGUGGCCAUAUAUAUUCUUUGCUUGGCUUGUAUUAGGUUUUCUUUUUGGCAUUUACUUUAAAAGUCAUUUCAAUACUUGAGUGCUUGUUUAACGUACUGUUUUUCAAUAAAUUGGUUGUUUAUCGCUUUCUUAGAAUAGGUUAGGAUUAAUUUAGACUUUGAGGAAAAUGAACCCUACAAAAACAUUUGCAUGAUCAUUUAGCAACUUUGAUGCCUUUAGGACUAUAAUUGGCAAUCAAGACCAUGUGACCACUUAAGUAAUGACCUUCUAAGUUAGAGGUACUGAAAGGGCGCUAAUAGACAUUGGCGUAAUCAAGUUCCUGACUCUAAAAUUUUUGGUUGCGUAGGAAUCGAGAUGAUACUCCAGCAUUUCGAUUGGUUUCUAAUUGACCUCAAUAGGCUAAUGACGAUUCUUAGAAAUAUUUAGGUUGCUAAGAAUUAAAAAAGAAAAAGAAACAUGGCACGAGGUAUGAGCUUGGGAGAGCACACCCUUAGUAAAGGGCCGUUGACUUGAAUUAGGCAAUACCCUAAAUCUAUUUAUUUUCCCUUCCGAACAGAAAGGGUAGGUUGCGAUAGUUUUUUUUUUUUUUUUUGGCCAAGAAGAAUCCAACUCUUCUUUUUGUAUAUUAUGCUCCUAUCAGAUACUUCGCAAUAAUUGAACGAUUCUCUUUUAAUACUACUACAUAAGCUAUUCACCACACAAUAAUAAUAUCAGCUGCAACUUGGUCAUGUAUAUGUCUAGAUGAUCACCAAAAUCUUUCCACCAUAGCUGAAACAGCUUUUUACACCUUGUUAGUAAGUUUUCUAAUAAUAUUGCCCUCAAAAUUUUGAUUGAAGGUUUUAGAGAUUAAUGAUCUCAAAGCCUAGACUUUUGUUACACUCUAGGGGUCUUAGGCUUCGCCCCGAUGGAUGAGGGACCUAGGCCCUAACGCCGGGUAUCUAGGCACGGGUACUGAGGUCUUGUGCUCGGCCUUGAUGGACAAUGCUCUAAUUGUCGAAGAUCCAUGCAUGGACACCAAAGUCCAAAGCCUAGCCUUGAUGGACCUAGGCUCCUGAGUUUAGGCUCUAGGGAUCCAGUCACAAGUAUUGGGGUCCCAAGCCUCGGUUCGAGGGCCUAGGCAUGAGCACGGGCAGUUAUGCAUGGGCAUCUACGUACCUAAUUUCAAGAGGGCUAGGCCUAGGAUCUAGUGUCUGUGCUUAGCCUUCCGCUUUCUUAUACACUAGUCAAUAGCAUUCGAAUAGUGCAUGUCGAUUUAUUAAAAAAAAAUGUAGGUUAUUAUUUUCAAAUGAUAGAAAGUAAUUUCCAAUUUAUUUCGGAUUUCAGUUAAGUACUAGGAAAUAUUAUCAUUUUUCAAGAAAAUGAGAUAUUUGAAAUUUUUCUAAAAUCGUCGAAUUUUUCACGAAAUAAAUGGAGCUGUAAUAUAAUGUUGGCUUGAAUAGAGAUGUAGUGCCUAGUUUUCUUGAAGUUUUUUUGGAGACCUUUCUUUGGUGAUGGGAAGAACCCUCUUGUGAAAUUAUGGUCUUAGUAACACAUAACACCUUUCCAGGUGAACUGACUAUUUUGCCCUUAUUAUGUCACAUGUGCUGAAUUUGUUAUAAUGGGAAAUCGGAGAUAGAAUUCUGGCUCAAACGUCCUCCCAUGUGAAAAAGCAGACCUAAUGAAGUAGAAAAGAAAUGAUCGAACAUUGACUGAGACAACCAUGAAAUUACAAGAGGCAGGCAAAUUAUAAUUAAACCAACUGCUUGUCGUGCCAAACAUAAUAGUGAGAACAAGCAUUUUAGAAUGAUGAUCAUCCUUAUUUAUUUUCAUAAUCGAGUAGAAAAGGUAGUGUUUGGGUUCAAUUUAGUUUCGCUUUUUUAAUAAACAAUAUGAUCUCUUUAUACUUUUGUUUGUUUUUUUUCUUGUUUAGCUAAAAAUUUGACUAAAUUUUCCCCAUUAUAUUGAUUUUUAUUGAAAAGAUGUUUUAGCAAUACAAUUAGUCUGAGUUCGGCUGUCAACUCAAGCUAUUUUUUGCAUGGGACCCCAAACUUGUUUAACCCAAACCAACAAUCUGAUUACGAUUUAUUAGGGUUUGGGUUGACUAGGAAUUUGAAACCCAACUUGCUUUUCAAUCGAGGGUAUUGUGAUUGUUUAGUUACAUUGAAUAUUAUAUGCAUAAAUAUAUUAUGAGCAAGACUUUGCAAAGUAGGUUGGAGUAUAUAUCACGAGGGUGUAGUGAUUGAAUAAUCACAAGAUCAGGUAUAUACAACCGACAAAUUAAGUAAUUUGUCUGAAAAUGGAAACUUGGUUCCCUUUUGGUUAGAUAUUAUAAUUUGUGUUGUUUAGUGUACUAAGACCAUCAUAAGCAUAUAUAGAAAAUAAUUAUGUUUGAUGUUGAUCAAGAAACUGAAACACUCAUUGUAUAGAACAUUAAUAUCCUUCCAAUAUCACAUUACUACGGACUCCUUAUAUUUCUUUAUUUGAAUUCACAUGCAGAAAGGGGCUCUCAGGCCGGAGAAGAGCAAUGUUCAAGUGUUGAAACACAAUUCAAGUCGUAUGUCGAAUAGAUUCGAAAACUGUCGAAUGCAAUCUAUGACGGCUUGGUACCUAGACUUGUUCUUCCAUACCAUCACAUUGGCAAUGGAUUGAUGUACAGAGAAGUCACAUGCUUUUUAUAUAUGGUUCCGACACGAGUGUGGAGAUCCUUUUCAUCUUGACAAACCACAUGCAUGGCUCGUGUAAAAUUGAGAAAUCGCACUAGGAGUAGCUUGGGGACAACAGUCGAACAGCGCAACCCUUCGUUAAUGUCCUUCCAUGCAUCGGCCACUUGUUUAUGGAGUUCCUCCUUAACCUCUUCCUUGCGUUGCAGAUAUUUUGAAUAUAGUCUAAACCAUGACUUUUCCUUAAGCCAAAUCGAGUUUUGAAAAAGAAUUUCUUAGAAAUUGUUAUUUUUGGGAAACAUCACAUGUACCAAAGCACUUUUUUGAAAGAUGCAAUUUGAAAAGGCCAAUUGUUCAACAACAAAAAUCAAAACAUUUAAAACAAUUUUCAUGAAGAUAGCAUGGCCUAAUUUUGUGCACAAACUAACUUAAAAGGUAUAAUUAAAUAAUCGCAAUCAUGUUUAUAUUAGGAAAUUUAAGAACAAAUGUGUAAGGAUAGCAAAAUUGGGCAUUAUCUAAUGACACAAUUUGGCAAUGACAAAAUUCCAAUGCAUGAUAUGAUGAUAAAAAAAUUUUGUGAAGAAAUUUUUCUUAAACAAUCUACACAUGAUUUUACAAAAAUCAAACAACAAGCAACAACCCAUCAGAAAUUUGUCAAAACAAUAGGACAUUCAGAUAAUGUCGCGAGGAUUUGUCCUGUCAAAAUAUGUCUAAAAAUCAUCAAAUUUACAUACAACAUAACCAACAUGAUGACAAAUUUUUUUUUAUUAAGAGGCCAAGUUUAGAUUCCAAAUAGAAAAAAUGAAACAAAAAUAUCAAAUGUCUGUCCAAAUAAGGGUUAGAACAGGGGGUCCGAAUUUGAUCGAUUGUCCAGAUUGUGAUAUAGCUUUGAAAAAAUGGAAAAUAGUCCAAAUGAUAAGCGAUUACAUGAAAUUAGCGGCAUUAGAAACUUCUAAGUGUGCCCUACGUCUUCCUAGAAGAGCUCAAGUCCAAAUUAGGUCAAUUUGAUAUCCUAAGAUCGAGAUCUCUAAAAGUGUGUGCAUUAGUAACUAAGAAAAUAGAACAUAAGCAUUCAUUAGAAAACCUUAAAAUCACUUAAAGAAUGCACAAACGGCAUGAAAAAAUCACAUGGGAUUUAGAAUUGAAUGCAAUGGAAAGUUUGGAUAGUCUUCUAAUUUUAAGUCGGCAUGCAAAAUGUCAUACAAUUUAAUGACAUUAGGAGAUGAUUCAUGAUUCCUAAUGGUAUGCUUAGGAAUCUUAAGUGUGAUGAACAUUUUUUGUGAGACGAAUUUAAUGUGUAAGAUGAUACUCAAAGAAUAUGACCUACAUAUAAACAUGUAAGCGCAUCUUGCAACAUGCGGUUCAAUUAUCGAGAAGGCAUGAUCGUAAGAUUUGAUUCCUAGAUGACUCAAAUAAGCAUGGAAAUAUGCACAUAUGAUAAUGUUUCAUUUCAGCAUUAAGUUUAUAGAACAAGCAUGAUUUUAGCUAUCCUCCAGACAUGCAUAACUCCUACAAAAAAUCUCUCAUACAGAGCAUGCGAUAUGAAAAUUUAUUGUUAAGAGUUCAAAACUCAGUUAAGAUCAAAUGAGUUGUGGCAAAAAUGACAAAACUGACAAACUAUAUGUCUAGUAUAUUUUGCUGCAGUGACUUUUACUCUAAUGCAUGCAAUUGACUCACUUUGCCAAUGUAAAAAUCUUGCAAAUCAUGCAUCAAUUGAACAUAUAUAUCAUGUAUUUCAACUCUCAUGAAGGAUUUGAGACCAAAUAUGUGCAUUUAUGAACUCAAUUUCAUCAAAAACAAAAUUUGGACCAAUGCAGGAUAGACUCACCUAUACUCAGAGCUAAGCGAUUUCGACCUAGCUAAACAUGUCUAAAAAUUUUGAAAAAAAAAAUACAAGACAUGCAUAACACUUAUAAAAGCAACUUUCCUGAAGGAAAGUUGUUCCAGAAUUCAACACAAAAAUCAGUACAAAAAUAACAAAAUCAGAUAUCAAUAUGGAAUAGAUUAACCUAGGCUUACAUUUGAGUAAAUUUGACCUAGUUGAACACAUCCAAAAUCAUGAAAAAAUUACAGAAGAUGCAUAAGAUGAUUUGGAACAAAAAUCAUGAAAAAAAUUUUGUCAAGAAAUGACCACAAAAGUCGGCACAAAAAUAAUAAAGCCAGAGGGUGGAACAUAAUCAGAAUCGAAAUGACUUAAACUACUGCAUAAUCGUUAAUUUUCGGAGGUGUUUUUCGAGGGUCAAACGAUGCUCGAUUGGGGCGUGCAACCUACCGUUUCGAAGCUUGGAACGUCUAUUAUAUAAUUCUAAGAGGACUCAAGUUGAAAUGAGCUUGUUUUGGAUCUCAUUUUGGCCAAAACAGUGACCUAGGUAUAGACCUACGAAAAUCACAAAUUUAGCUCAAGAACACAAUCAUUAUUCAAAUCAUCCACAAAUCAUUGCACCAUUCAUAAUCAUUGAUCUUAAGCAUAUAAAGACUCCUAAUCUUGAAUUCUAGCUCCGAUUGACUUAUUCGUUCUCGCUUCAUCGGAUUCGAAUUUCGAAUCAUUACCUUCGUUAUGAUUUUUGUUAAUUUCUGUCGUGAUCAAUCGAAUCAAGCCGUCGGUGUGACGACCCGAGCGGCGGUGCGCGGGGAGGAGGGAUGGCGGUGCGUCCGCGCCUCCGGUCCUCGGACGCGCCCAAGGGAAAGGGAAGGGAUUCCUCUCCCUCUUGUCCCACAUUGCUUAGGGAGGGGUCAUGGGCCUUGUAUAUAAGGCUUGGGUUCCUUUAAUUGUGUGACGCGUUUUAAAGCCGUGAGGACUCAGUGUCCAAAGCGGACAAUAUCACACAAGUGGGACCCGGGAUGUUACAAAUGGUAUCAGAGCCGACUCCCGACAGCGUGUGGGGCCACAGCGAGGACGCUGUCCUCCCAAGGGGGGGGAGAGUGUGACGACCCGAGCGGCGGUGCGCGGGGAGGAGGGAUGGCGGUGCGUCCGCGCCUCCGGUCCUCGGACGCGCCCAAGGGAAAGGGAAGGGAUUCCUCUCCCUCUUGUCCCACAUUGCUUAGGGAGGGGUCAUGGGCCUUGUAUAUAAGGCUUGGGUUCCUUUAAUUGUGUGACGCGUUUUAAAGCCGUGAGGACUCAGUGUCCAAAGCGGACAAUAUCACACAAGUGGGACCCGGGAUGUUACAGUCGGAUCAUGAUCGAAACUUCAAGAAUGUAGAUCAAACCACUACGGAUCAGAUUGAGAUCAAUCAAACCAUCAAUUCAAGGAAAAAAGGAUGAAUCGAUCCAAAAUGGACCAGCUUUGACUCCCUGGUGAAGAUUGGGCUGCUGGUGAAGAUUUGGCAACCAUUCUGGUCUCCUCUGUCCACUGCAAAGUCAAAGACCUCUGGUACUAUUGAUCAUCAAUAGCUUGGAUGCUUGGGGGCUCCGGCGACCACCGGUUUGAGUCUAGAACAAAACCGAUCCAAGAGAUGGAUUGAAACUUGGAGAGAGAGAGAGAGAGAGAGAGAGAGAGAUCUGUUUGGGCGAGAGUUUAGAGGGAGAAAAGAGAGGGAGAAUAAGGAGAGAGAGAGUUUUCAUGCAAAAUGAAGCCCUCAGCUGAAAAUGGAAGACAUUUCAUUUUAUACUCUUCACAUUUAGCGAUUUCGACCGUUGGUUCGACUUGACGGUUGAAAUUUUGAUCCAACAGUCAAAAAUCCAUUUCCAGGACUCCAUCAUGAUCUCGAGGUGUUGAGUAACUGAUCUAGUGGGUUUGAUUUGAAAAAAACUUAGCCAAAAUUGGGAAUUAUUUCAAAAUGUCCAAUUAGAGGUUAAUUUGCAAUUUGAUGAAAUUCGAGAACCAAUUUGUAAAAUUUUGGGAAAUUGAAGGUGUAGAAGUGAAAUUGGCAUUGAGAGGGCCGAAGGCCAAGAACUAGCCGGCAAGGGCCUAAAUCGGCCAGUUCCGCCGUCGGCAGGCCAGAUCGGUUGAACCGAUUCGGUCUAAUUUGAUCGAAUUUUGAUCGGUUCUUGAUUGGUUUGAUUCGGUUCCUACUAUUUUUUCCACUUAGGACCCCUAUGGAUAAAAAAAUUAUGCCAUUUGGCCCCUAAAAAACCAAAUUGAAAAGGAAUUUUAUCAUUUUUAAGAAGAAAUUGGCCAAUUAAGAUGCAAUUAAGCUAAUCAAACCUUAUGAACGUGAUCUAGGGGUCUUUUAUUGACCUAAUUGAAUGAUUAUUAUGAAAAACAAUGAGACAAAAUCAUGGGUGCUUUGAAUUGGGCUUAAAGGGCUAAAAUGGUAAAAUUUACAAUUCAAUGGGCAAAAUUGCAAAUUAACUAAAAUUGAACUCAAUUAGUAUCACAAUUGUCCUAUCUAAUGAGCUACCCAUAUGUAAGAUCACUUAUCAUAUUCAAAUUGACCUUGAAUCGAAGCACUCAAACUUAAGUCAAAAAAUGGAUCUAAGCCUAAUAUUAAAAUUAGACCUAGAUUCAUGAAAUUAAACCAUAGCCAUAAAUGAGUCAAUUGGAAUUUUGUUGAUUGAAGCUUAAUUGCUUGAUUUUCUAAUGCAUGGGAGGAUAAAAUUAUUCAAAUUGAUGAGUUCUAGUGUGAAUUUCCCAAAAUUGAUUUUAGAUUUGGAUUUAUCUCAAGAAAAUGAGUGAGAAAUAAUCGUCCAUUCACAAGUUAUGAAUGAUCGAUUUUAGUUCCCUAAUUAGGCUUCAAAACGGUAAUUCGUAUUUUGACUCGAUAAAUCACGAAAUUGAAUGUUCAAGCAGAUUUUAGAUAAUCCCUAAACCAAAUGUCAAAGAAUGAACUACACCUAAUUAUGACUAGAAUAAAAGUAAUUUUAUUUUUGCUCGAUUUAAAACUUAAAACUGAAAAAUUCAGAAAUCAAGGUUUUUAAUCGAAUUUUGUGAAAUUUUUUACACAAAAGUCAAAUUGGCAUUAAAAUAAAUAUAUUUGUGCAUUUUUUCAACCAUUUAAUUAACUUUUCUUAAAAUGUUAAUUUUUUGGUCAAAUAUUUGAAUUUUCAAGAAAUCAAUUUGACAGAAGUGAAAUUAAAGCUAAAUGGAAUUUUUUUUAUAGUAAAAAGUCAACUCUUUGACUCGGGUUGACUUUUGGUCAAAGGGUUGAUCAAAAAGUCAACCCGAAAGUCAACCAUUUGACUUUUUGGGUGUUUCUUGAAAAUGAGCUAAAAAUUGCUUAAAAACAAUAAUGCAAAAGAAAUAAACGAAAAACGAUACUUUUUAAUUGAGACAUGGGGUUUCGUCGUGAUUAGAAACCUAAAUCUCGAUUUUUUACCUUUUAAUGAUGUAUCGACUAAAAUUCAGGUGUCAACAAUACAUGGUUAUCUCUUUUGUAUUAUUGUAGGUCCCGUUUGGUUCAGCAUUCCCAAGGGGCUUUCAGGGCUGAAAGCCCAUUGGGAAAAAAUUUAAGUGUUUUGUUCAGUAUUUAGAGGUGUCGUUGGCCAAAUGCUAACCUUUGUAAUGCAAAUUCACAUCUACUAUUCAUACAUUGAUUUUUUUUUUUAAACCGAUCAUCUUCUCUACACCCCCAACUGCCAUUGAUCGGUGACGGAGUUUCAUUGGAUUUUAUUUUUAUUUUUUAAAAAAUAAUAAAAACCCUUUGCAAAUGUUGGGUUUACCUUUUUUUUUUGUCAUUUUUAUCUUUUGACAAUCAAUAGCCCAACUUUUUAUCAAUACACUAGAAUGAUCAUUAAUUAAUGAAGAUGAUUAAUACUACAAUAAUUAAAAAAAAGUAUUCAAAGUUGAAAACAAACCUAAAAGAACUCUAGGCCCAAAGUUGAGCUUUGCAUUUAAUCUAUAAUCAAAUUCUUUUAAUAUAAUUUUUAAAUAAAUUUACUAAUAUAUAUUUUUUACAUUACUCUCAAUAUGAAAAUGUAAAAUGUUAUAUAGUCAUUGUUUCUUUUUUGCAAUUUUAAAAAUACUAAAACUAAAAAACUUAAUUUGGUCACACUAAAGGGCUUUUCAAAUAUAUGUUUACCAAACGGUUUUGCAUUUCCCUAAACACUUUUUAGUUAUAGUUUACCAAACAGUCUAACAUUUCGAAAAACCCAUUUACCUCAAAGGUAUUUGCAUUCUCCCAAUAACAUUUUCCCAAAACCGAACCAAACGAGCCCGUAAUAAGAAUCUGUUGUCAUAUGUUCUGGAUCCCCUUUCUGAAUGUUAUAGUUAAUUCUAAGAGGGAUGGGCUAAACAUCCUCCAUAACAUCAUUUUGCCUUGGUAGCUCGAGGGUUUUAGGGAUAGCCUCUUCUGUAUCUUCUGCUAUUGAGUCUUUUUGAUAGAACACUUUCCAAAAAGGGCUAUGUUUUGAGGUCUCAUCUUCUAGCCAACUUCCAAAGCAUCCUCCCAACUUUGUUGUGGCUUUUUCUUCAUCAUGAGGCAUAUCUUUACAAUAGUUGGCAUAAUGUCUAAUUUUACCACAUGAGUAACAAAAGAAAGGCAUCCUUUCAUAUUUGAAAUUAAGCCAUACUUUAUUGUUUCCAUGUCGCAUCAAUUGUCCAACUCUCAAUUCAGCCUCCACAUCUAACUCCACUCUUGCUUUCUCAAUUUUUUGGAAUGUGGGACCUUGUGCAUCUAUUUUCACAUCCAAAACCUGUCCCAUCGAGCUGUCAAUUUUCUUGAUCAUCCCUUAAGAAUUCCAUUCCAAUGGGAGCCCAAAUAUUCUGACCUAGAAGGCACAUUUCUUGAAGUCAUAAGAGUGGGGAGGAGUAUCCCGCUCCCAUGAUUUUUUUUUUCACGCUCCCAUGAUUUUAAUAGCAAUAAAUGAUUAGAAAAAAACCAAGGACCUCCCUCUAUUGCACGGUUCUUAUCCCCUUUGUUCCAAAAUACAAAGCUGAUUUUUCCAUUUUUAAGGGGUUUUUCUUCCACAUUCUCAUUUCUCCAUGCCUUUUUCAUAGCUAUUAAAAGGGCUUGGAAAUUAAUGCUAGGGUUCUUAUAGAGUUGCCCGGCAAGGGAGAAACGACAUUCCAGAAUUUUCUCUUCCAAAGGUUCCUCAUCUAGAAUAUGCAUAUAAUUCUCAUACAUUAACUUACCCAAUUUCUUGUAGAGAUGAGCCAGUCGUCCCACAGCACCUUCCUCUUUAGCCAUUUUCACAUGAAUUCUGCAACUGGGACUCUCGCAUUGAAGGGCCUGCGAGCUUUACCCCAUUCUUCAAAGAUGGAGGACAGAACGGCGAUAGAUCGAACCCGCCAUGUAGAUCGACAUCAGAUGGCGAGAGUGGCAAUGAAAUAGUAAAGAAACUGUUGAGGAUUCCAACAAGAUUCAAAAGAAGAAUAAAUACUGAAGUUGCGAUUACAACGGAAUAUGGAAGGAAUAGCAGAAAUUUAGGGCAAAGUUAUGGUGGACUCAAUUUACACAGUGGGCAUAGGUAAUACUUUUUCUCCUGUAGAGGUUUUCUGUAGUGGGUGAUGCAUCAUGGCAUAUAUUUCAUAGGAAAAAUUCUAGUUUGGCUGGGGUACCCUCUAACCCCCAUUUUUUCUUUACUACCCUCUAACCCCAUUAAACCGUGCAACAAUUUUGUUAAAUAUCUUUUGAAAUUUCAAUUUUCCCCCUUCCCGCUUUUUUGUUUUAUUUGUUUGCGGGAAUUUCCCUUUUUCAAUCUUCAACUAUCUGUUGUUUACUUCUACUAGUGUUGGACCACGUGCGUCGCACAUGACCUGGUGAUGUUGGGCUAUAAUUUAUCAUGCCCCAGGACUCUGCUCUUGCCCUCUUUUUGUUAGAUUCCUCUCUGUUUCUGUACGCCUUCUUGUCUUCACCUUGAGAAGUUAUAGUCGAUCUUCCUUCGCUGAACCCUCCCACUUACCUCUCUUUACAUAACGCUUCUCUUCUUUGGGUGAAUAUAGCUGAGAGGAUCGGCCCUCAGAUGGGAUCCGAUGGAGGCCCAACUCUAAUCACCAUCCUCGCUUUGGCUGUAGCGAGAGUGUAAGUGCUCUAACAACAACAACCCAGAUGGACUCAGUUCAACAGCAGGUGGAGGCUAUGUGGAGUUCAUUGAUUAAUGAAGUUUCGUGAAGACAAUGGGCUAGCCUGUCUAUGGGCAAUCAAUGUCACAAAUAUUGUUAGCCUAUUCAAGUCCUAACAAUUGCAGGAACCUCAAAGAAAACAUGGGAAGCAAUGUUUUAUAAGGACCGUUGUCUUCCAAAAGUAUCAUGUGAACCACAAAAAAAAAUCGUCGUAGAAGUUGAAUAACAAUAGGACGAACUUACCCACUGGUGGACAGUUGAAUUGGUUCAGCUUUGGGCACUUCACCGCAAAGGUCCUAGGGUCGAAACUUCGUAGCUGUUAACAUGUCUUAAGUGAGGGGUCAUGGUGGUGGGGUCCUAUGCUAGCUUCCCUCCAAGUAUUGACGCUUGGUCCGAGGUGCACCACGCACCACGCAUUGUACGGGUCAUGGGUUAGCAAUUAGCGUAAGCGAAAGUAGGGCCCGGUGGAUCCUGGGUCACAAAAAAAAAAAAAAAAAACAAUAGGACAUACUUUGAUCUGUUACUAUUUGAUUUCCACAAACAGCUUGAAUGGCCUCCCGCAAAUCCUUCUCACUGAGCUGGAGAUUUCGAACUAAUUGCUGCCCAAUAUCUUCACAGAAACAAAAUCAUUUUUUUCUUGCACUUCCGAGCAUUGUCCAAAAGGGAGGCAAGAUGUGUGCCCAUUAUAGGGCCACUAGCAUCGCACAAAACCUGGUGCAAGGUCACAGAUUGUUACCAAACCCCAAAUAUCCUCUGGAGAAAGACAAAAUUGAAUUGAAAAACAAACUUAUAACUGAAUACAUGCCUUUGGUUGUUGGGAUAUGAAAUUGUCCACAGCCUGCAGAACUGAUGUGUUGUGAAGACCAGCUUUAGUGAGAAUUCUCCUGGCUAAACCAUCCUUUUGCUCCAAAAGAGCUCUCAUUAGAUGCUCAGUUUCCACCACUUGUUGUUUGCAAACUUGAGCUGCAUCAACAGCAUCAAUAAUGCUCUCCCAGGCCAUCUCAGUGAACUCUGAUGGAUUCGUCUGAGUCGAACAAAGUCAGACUUCAAGUACAUCCAUUAGAAAAAACAUAACAAAUGAAACAGGCAGACUUCUCUUCCAGAAACUCCAACUAAAGGAUGACGAGGAAAAAAUUGCCAGGUCAAUCCUGCUAUAUUAAAC
rnacentral:lncRNA from 1 species